UUUACUAGCCCUAGUAAAUUUUUACUGAGGGUAGUAAACUUGCAAAACAGUAGCUCCAAUGCCAUAAUUCAUAUUUAAAAGGUGAAAAAUCAACUUAGAUGCGAAAAAUGAAAUUUACUACCCCUAGUAAACUUUUACUAGUAAACUUUUACUGGGGGUUACUACCUUGCAAAACAGUAGCUCCAAUGUCAUUAUAUACAUUAAAACAAUGAAAAAUCAACUUAAAUGUGAAAAAAUAAAGUUUACUACCCCUAGUAAACUUGCAAUACAAUAUUUUUCUAGUCAGUAUAUACAUUAAAACACAAAAAAAAAGCAACUUAGAUGCGGACAAAUAAAGUUUACUACCCCUAUAAAACUUCUACUAGGGGUAGUAAAUCUGCGAUACAAUAUUUCCCAGGUCAGUAUACACUUUAAAGCAACAAAAACCCAACUUAUAUGCGAAAAAUUAAAGUUUACUACCCCUAGUAAACUUCUACUGGGGGUAGUAAACAUGCAAUACAAUAUCUCCAUAAAUUCACAUUUCUAAAGUAAACUCCAUACCACAAAAUAGAAAUUACAAACAUCAUAACCAAAUUAAAGACAACUCCAAACCUCGGCGUCAAUUGCCGCGAGGAGUCCCGUAUCGAUCUUCAACCGCGUCGUUGUUCAUCUCUCCUCUGAACUUCAGCCAAACGAGAUGCUCUGAAUUGAAGCCGAGGAAGGGGAAGCAUUGAUCGGAGGCGGCCGUACUAAGUGACGGAGAUCGGCAAGCUCGGUUCGCAUCGCCUAGAGGUGGCUUGGAGAUCGGAGCUCAGGUUUCGGCUCGCAUCGAAGACUGCUGCUACCUUCUCACAGAUCUGGUUACUUCGAGGUCGAGGUAGAGGAAGCCAACUGGUGAAAUCAACCGGGUUGAUGGCGGCGGUGACGACAGAUGAGAGCAGAGGGAAGCGUCAAUUUGGAAGAGGAGGAGCCGAGACCUUUGGUCAGUGAUGGACGUCAUCUGUGACGUUGUUGACGCGAUCGAGAGAAGAGAGAGCCCGAUAAGAGAUGAGAAUGAGAGGUGGGAGAAGCAGAAGACAAUGUAGGGUUUUUAUUAGAUUAGGGUAUAUUUGUCAUUUUAUCUUGAAUAAUUAGAAUGGGCAAUUAAAUCUUAUUUUCAUUGGACCGGGCCAAAACUUCCUAAAAUUAGUAAUAAAUAGGCAUUUGCUCAAAAAAAAAACACACAUGUUGAAAACAUCAAAACACCAAAAAAUAGAAACGUUCAUGUGUCUAAUGGUAAAUUGAUUCGCUAAACAAUAAAUUUAACAAAUAAGAAUAAGGCAUUACAACAAUAUCAUUAAGAUUAUAAAAGAACCGGUAAAAUAAAAACAUUUAGACCCUGAACCGGUAAAAUAAAAACAUGUUGUAAGGAGACAUCACUGUCCGCAACAACUUUGACGGUCUGAAGGGAUUUUCUUGCUAAAAACGAAAAAUCAAAAAGUCCGUGAAAAGGCCUUAGAAAAACAAGGAUCCGCAGGUUGAGAUAUAAAGUGGUGAGACUUGAGAGACUCUCCUUGUGAUUUCUUUCAUUUUCCUCCCUCCUUUUUCUUGCGUGUCAAGUCCCCCAUUCACCUAAAUCACUCUCCUCUCCCUAAUCAAACCCUAACAAAUCCCCCAGAAUCCCAAAUCCUCCAAAUUCCAAAAUCCCAACCCAUUCCGCAUUAGAACUCGCAUACCUCACGAUGAAGCAAACACACACAGUUUGAAUCGCUUUCGGAUUCCGUUUUCUAAUUUUGAUCGCGAGGGAGAUGUGAUUCGAUUCUAGGGUUUUCGCGAAGGAGAUGGUCAGAGAUGAGUCGCGGAGGAGAGGGAGAAGCUUUGGCGGACGCGCAGGCGGUGGUGGCGGUGAAGAAGAAGUCGUCUCGGAGCUGGGUGUUGCUGGACGCGACGGGACAGGCGACGGUGCUCGAUGUCGACAAGUAUGCUAUCAUGCAUAGGGUUCACAUUCACGCCAGGGACCUUCGCAUUGUCGAUCCUCUGCUCUCUUAUCCUUCCGCCAUUCUCGGCCGUGACAGGGCCAUUGUUCUCAAUCUGGAGGUAUAAAUUUGUUAGGUUUUCGGUUUCGAAGAUUUUAUAGUGAUGUGUUUUGAAUGUUUGGCUGAUCUUUGUGUUUGUUUGUUUGAUUUUGCAGCAUAUUAAAGCUAUAAUUACUGCUGAGGAGGUCAGCCCUUUUUUUUUCUCUCGGAAUUUAACAUCUUUUUUACUGUUUUCGGCUGAAUUUGAUGUGUUGAUUUGGGAGGAAGUACUGGUGUAGCUUGUGCAGUUAAUCUACUAUUAUUUGGGGAAAUUAGUGAGGCGAAAAAGCUGCUUAGAUUGUCUGAAGAGGAAUAGAAAGUGUGUGUUUACUGUAAAGUUCAAUGCAUGUUUUAUACUGUAUGUGUUGUGGGGAGAAUAUGUUAUGUGGUGUGCUUUAGAGUUUCGGUGAGUUAAGGCGCUUUUGCAGAUGAUGGAUUUUUUUUAUUUUUUAUGUGUGUGUGUGGAUAUAGGUGCUGCUGCGGGAUCCGUUGGAUGAAAAUGUUAUACCUGUUGUGGAAGAGCUUCAAAGACGGUUGCCGCCUGGGAAUUACAUUCGUGAAAAUCAAACGGAUGGGAAAGAGUUCCCUGCUGGGCAAAAUGAUGUUGAUGCAGGCGAAGAAGAUGGUAUGAUGUUGUAAUUUUAAGUUUAUCACUUCAGGAGCAGUGUCUGGCUUUAGUGCCUGUAGUUAUAUGCAUAUCCUUUUUGCACCUGUCGCUUCGGUCUGAAUUCUUUUUGGAGUUUACGUCCCACUGAUCUAAAUUAUCUGAUGUAGAGUCUCCAUUUGAAUUCCGGGCCUUGGAGGUAGCAUUGGAAGCAAUUUGUAGUUUUCUUGCUGCACGUACGACAGAACUGGAGACUGCUGCUUAUCCGGCUCUAGAUGAGCUUACCUCUAAGGUAGGGCAUAACUUGUUUCUCUGUUUCUUUUCUACUUUGUGCAUGUAUGUAUCCGUUUGGGGCUAAACGGGCAUAAAAAAUGGGAAACAAACAAAAGAGUGCAAGGAACAAAAUUACAGUAUCUCCUACACUUGUAGGUUACUUCAGGAUAUCAAACUGAUUGUAGCUCAUAGAUAGAUUUAGGCCCUCAGUUGUCAGAUAUGGUUUAUCAGCAACUUUACUGAAAACACAAGAUGGCGAGUUCCAGGGACUGUUAUAUCUGCAGUUUGUGUUAAUUGUUCUUUAAAAAAGAAAAAGAAAAAAAUAAAAGAAAAGAAAUCCAAAUAUCAUGCUUGAGUUUUUGUUGAAUUUUGGUAUCCUCUUGCUUUGCAUUCUUAUGGCGGAGCUGGUUUCGCUUCAGGGGAUUUCUGGCUACCAUACUUGCCUCAAUAGUUUUGAGAACUUACUAUUGUACUGAGAGUAUGUUUAUCUCACAUGAUCUUCUAUAAGAAAAAAGUAGUUGCUCAGUUUUUUUCUCCUUCUGAGUUGACAAAAUUAUAUACAUUUGUUCAUUUUGGUUACCUAUUUUUGCUAUUUGAAUUUGUUCUAUGAAAUUUGCUUCUUCCGCAGAUUUGUAAUCCAUUUCAAUCUGCAGAUUAGUAGCCGCAAUUUGGAUAGGGUUCGUAAACUGAAAAGUGCAAUGACGAGGUUGACUGCACGGGUACAAAAGGUAUGCAUCUUCCUCUUGUCUGUGAAGGGUUGUUUGAUAGUUCAUCUCUAAUAUGUGUGUGAUUGAUUUUAAAUGCAAUCACUAAAGGAUGUUAACUUCAAAUAUUAGCUUUUACAAAAUCCCAUUUUCAGCUUCAGUGGGGACAUUAAAGAUCUUUAAGAGUAUAGCUGAUGGAGUUUUUGAAAUACGCUGAUCACUUAUGCUUCAAAAAGCGCUUUUGUGAUACCCCAGGAUUUGUGCAUCAUGACCACCGAAGCUUGCAGUCUAAGUUAGUUGCCUUAGAAAUGGAGUUUCCUGUUUUUAUUUAUGUCUGUUAGCCACAUUCUUUUUGGUGGUGUACCUUAUAUUAUAUUUGCUGACAAUUUAUCAGAAUGACUUUUUAGUGUGGGGUAGAAACCAAUUUUCAUGAUUAGAGUAUGAUUAAAGACAGCCUCUGCUAGCGCCCUCUUUACACCUGCAUACCAAGGCACGAGGUAAUCCCUGUAGUAUCUAUUUGUAGGUGAGGGAUGAGCUGGAGCAGCUGCUGGAUGAUGAUGAUGAUAUGGCCGACCUUUACUUGUCAAGAAAGUUGGCAGGUGCAUGUUCACCGGUUAGUGCCUCUGGUCCUGCCGGUUGGUAUCCUGCCUCCCCUACCAUAGGCUCAAAAAUAUCACGGGCAAGUAGAGCAAGUAUUCUAACUGUCCGUGGAGAUGAGAAUGACGUUGAGGAACUUGAAAUGUUACUUGAGGUAUGAUGACAUUGAUAUACUUUUCAUGUCUUGGAUUUUACUGAAAUCUAAAUACUAAAUUGCUUACUAAUACCUGUGCAGGCUUACUUUAUGCAGAUUGAUGGCACCUUGAACAAGUUAGCUACGGUAAGCUUAUCAUUCUUUUUGGCUUACAAGGAGAUUGUACCUAGUAUCUAUCCUUCAUCCCAUUCUACCCAAUGCCUCAUGGAGGUCCUUGGGCAGGCAGAUGUAAAAGAACACGUAGUGGCCUGAGGAUGGGAUGUUUCCAUUUGCUUUGGUACAAGAGUAGGGUUAUUGACAUUAAGUUUAACGAACCGGAAACAGAAAGUUGAAACACUCAAGUGACACAACCCUAUACAAUCUUAAUUUAUUCAUAUCCAUGACAACCUUAACCAUUCUAUCCGAAAUUUUGCAGCUGCGUGAAUAUAUUGAUGAUACAGAGGAUUACAUAAAUAUUCAGGUACUUGAUUUUUUAUCUUUAAUUGCUUUGGCAAGUACCAUAGAACUUUACGCAUUAUAUUUAUGUUUUUGAUCUUAAUUGUGCCUUCCAUAUUUCAGCUUGAUAACCACAGGAAUCAGUUAAUUCAGGUGCUUUAUUCUUCUUAUUUAGUGUUUUUGUUUCUCUACUACACUGGUUUCGUUUCUUCAUACUUGCUUUCUCUUUGCUUGCUUAAUCUGGAGUUGGAGUUGUUGCUUAUGACAUUAAGUUCUACUCUCUUGAUUAUUCGUGGUGCAGCUUGAGCUUUUUCUUAGUUCUGGAACUGUUAGUUUAUCCAUAUAUUCUUUGGUGGGUGGAAUUUUCGGCAUGAAUAUCCCAUAUACGUGGAACGAGGGUCAUGGAUACAUGUUUAAAUGGGUACGCACAUUAUUUCCUCUGGUAAUCGUGGCUAGUAUAAGUGUGAUAUGUGGCUGAGAAUUGAUCUUUUUGAAUUGACAGGUUUGCAUUGUCACAGGAAUAGUAUGUUUCUUUGUUUUCAUAGUAAUUGUAGCAUACGCUCGCCACAAAGGGUUGGUUGGAUCGUGAACUUGGUAAAUAAAGUUUUUGCUGAUAGCAAGGAGUUCGAGAUUUAUUGAUUUAGGUCUUGUCAUGUGGAUGAACACAAAAUUGGGUGUCAAGGCUUUCAGGUAAUGAAGGAACUAUAAUCUCUUGCUGAGUUUUGGUGAUUUAGUACUGCCCGUAAUGGCUUCUGUGGUUAACAAGGCUAAGUCUGACUAUGGGAAUUUUAGAUUAGAAAUCCCAAGGAUGUGCAAUUUCGUUGAUUGUUGACAACCUUAUUAACAAGAUUCACCUCGCCAGUACUGGCUGUAAAACAUUUUUUUUUUAUUUUAGUCCAUAGUUUUUGUUCUGGUUACACAUGUAUUUGUUCUAACAAGUAUAUUCUUUGAAUCACCUGUCAUAUCGGUUGCCGCCAAUUCGUGCAAUUGUGGUGCAAGGCGAAUCUUACAUCUCAGAAACAAUAAGUAGUCUCAUUUAUCUCAUGCUUUUCCCAAAUAGAAACCAAUAGAAGAGCAAACUACAAUCAUGAACCGUGAUUGACAUAGAAAGCUAAACCAAGAUGGCGUGACCCUGAUCACCCAUUUUGAACAGAUUUGAAAGAGAAUUAUGGAGCUGCCUUGAAGCAAACUUCUGCCUUCGGGUCUGAACUCCAUCUUCAUAAUUGGCAAACAACCAGUUUUACAAAGUGCUCACUACAGUGAAUGGACACGCAGAAUAACCAUCAUAGAUUCUCCGAGCAAGAUAACUUAGUCCGGAUACCUGCAUUGGCAUAUGAAAACUCAUAUUUAUUGGUUUAAAAGUGGUAGGAUUGUUGUGUUGGUAACUUAAUAGGUUAGAAGCAUUUCAUCCUGCAAUUUUGAGGAUGUGAGUUGGAACCCCUCCACUAUCACUUCUUAAAACAAAAUCGUGAAGCCUAAUCCGUUACUUGCUUACGUUCUUAAUAUGUGGCAAAAUUUGAGUGGAAAGAUAUACGUUGCGUGCAGCUAUUAUACACAUUUUUUUGACUGAGAUCCAACACGUGAUAAAAAUAAAAUGAUUCUUUUUUUAGAAUUGAGAAUGGUUGGUCGACAAGAGUGUGGAUUGAUUGUCAGAAUCCACGAAAAACAUGCAUUUUUGCAAGAGAUUUAAUUAUUAUCCUCAUUAGUUCAUAUGUGCGUCACAUGUAGCUACAUGCACUAAAUACACGUAGCAGUCUGUUUCGCGCAGAAAAUCGUUUAUAUAUGCUCAGCAGCAACAACAUAGAAAAUAACGAGAGACGAAAGAGCGAUAGAAGAGCAAAAGAAAGAGUGCAAAUCACGUGAAGAUGGAUUUCAAUCUCGAAGGCAUAUAAGAAAUUGAUCAAAAUUCAGGUAUGCAAUCCGGAUCUCUUCUUUUUCAUGUCUAUAGUAUGAUGCACUAAGAUUAAGAUACCAAAAUGGUGAAAAUUCAUGAAACAAUUCAGAUCCAUAAUGUUAAAAACUCAUCAAACAUGAUUGUCUUCUCUGUCAUUACCAAUUCGUUGAAAAAAUUAGCACAAUCACUGGAGAUCGAUUAAGUGUUAUAUUCAUUGAUUAUAUAUACCCCCUUCUUGUUGUAGUUAGAAUUACAGGAAAUCAAUCACAAAUAUAUGAAUUUUAGGCUGAACCAAAUCUGAAUCAGCCUUAUUUUCCCUUAGUUGGUGAGAUGAGAUGAGAGCAUCUUGAGACAUUCUCUUCAUCUCGAGUCUUGAAGCAGAUUUUUUUGGGUAAUAGUCUUGAAGCAGAUAGAGGCUGAGAAUUUUGAGUUAGUGACCUGUCACUGGUCAAGCACAACUGUCUGCAUGUCAAGAAACGGUUACAUUGAAACUGCCAAAAGUUUAAACGACCCAAUUUCCAUCCUAGAACAAUUUGGGUCUUCUUAUUUUGUCGACAUAUGUUUUCUUUUUCAACAAAAUUCUUUGAUGGAAUUGACCACAUAUAACUUGUGCUUUGUAAUUGACCAAAAAAAAAACCACUUGUGCUUUGUAAAUGGGGGUCGUUUAUUUUUCAAUAUUAUGCAUAAAAUUGACCUUUAUUAUGACGGAAUGUCUCAAUACAACAUUUUUAAACAUUUCAUCUCAUAAAAAUAAAUUUCAGAUUUUAUCGCUAUUAAUUUGGUCGAAAACUUAACUCAAUUGAGCUAAACAAAAUUUUGAUUUGUUUUCUAACGCACUCAACUUUUAGCCGAACUUACCAAAAACUCAAGUGAAUGAGGCAUGAGCGCUUCCCUCCUCCAAACCCUAAAACUCAAUUCACAAGAACAAAGCUUAAUUACUCCCCAUCGAAGUCACACGCAUCAUGGACAAUUACUGCAAUUCUCUCAUUCUAGGUGACAAGGAUAUUUCAUUGCGUGACACAUAAUGUAACACAUUUACAUUUUCGUUUCCCUCUACUGUUUCUACUAAUCCUUCUGUUUUGUUUUUUUGCCUCUUAGAAGCUCCAAUUUACAAAUGAAAUUGACUCAUUAGAGACAAGGAUAGUCGUGGUUCUCAAAGUUUCACACUCAAAACUCUGAUUCUUUGACGUGCAAUAUCCACAUCAAUAGAUAACACAUCACAUGCAAAAUACACACGACUUUUGCAUUAUCUUAUGUAGUUCAUAACCCUCAUCGCACAAUCCAACAUCUUUGAGGAUUUGAGUCACUUUGACUUCGCAGAAAGACAAAGAAAGCAAACUUUGAGGAAGAAAAGACAACCUUCUCGUUUUCUUUGUUUUUUCUUGGCUCUGUUGGAAAUUAGGAAUAACCAAAAAAAAAAACCUUUGCGCAGUUUAAGCCAAAGCCUUUGAUUCUUUUAUGCUUUUACAUAUAUGGGUUUUUUGUUCCUUCUAUAUUAGUGUUUUUCACAUUUAUGUGUGCGUUUUGUAUAAUCUAGAGGUGAUGUAUUUGUAGCUGUUUGGAGCCUCGAACAGAUCAUCAAACCCUAUCUCUCCCUAAUCGUUGUCCAAAUCGAAACAAGAAUCCCAAUCCCUCCCCCUUAAUCCCAUUCUUUUUCUUCAUCAACAGUCAAAAGAUCAAGGAUCCCAUAUGGGUUCUUGAGGUUUCUUGAUUCUAAUUGGUGACAUGCACCAGGUGCUUACGUGAAUGAAAGCAGAGUGUUGUGUUUUUGAAACAAGAUAAUGAUGACCAUUAGCAGCAACCAUGUUGUGAAAGUUAAGAGGGAGAAGCUUGAAGCAUGCAUGACAUGCCCUGUAUGCAAUGAGCUGUUCAGAGAAGCCACAACUAUUUCUGAAUGUCUUCAUACAUGUAAGUCUUUCUUUCUUUCCAUCUCUGCUCUUUUGGGAUCUGAUUGUUCAUGUGUUCUGUGCGUGUUGUGUGCUCAUUUUGUUGAUAUGGGUGCUUUGUUUUUACGUAAAUUCAUAUUCUUUUUCUUGUUUUCUGGUCUGGGUUUAUCGAAAUUUACGUUUUCAUCAUCUGGAUUCUGGGUCCUUUUCAAUUUGCAAGGUUGGUUGUUUUCCUAUUUUGGACUUUUGCUAUAUGGUAAUGUGAAGUGUGUGUGUGUACCGUAUAUUGUUGGCUCUUGGUAUACAAGUCCUACUAUGCCAUUUAUGCCUGAUUGGCCUUUCUUUCACCUAGUGUUGGUAACUGUAAUGAUUAAAAUUCCUGUCUAUGAUACAAUGGACAUAAGCUUAUAUGCUUCUUUACUCACUGCUACCCUAAACUCUUGGUCUUUUUCCAAUUGUCGCUGAAGUAUAUGGCUAUCAUCUGUAUUAGAUGCCUCACAGAUAGUGUAACAGCAAUGCUGCUCUUGAUAAUGUUUUUUCUAUGAUUCAAUGUGACUGACUUGGUUAUUGUUUCUGGGAACAGUUUGCAAGAGGUGCAUAUACGACAAAAUAAUCAAUGAAGAUUGUGAUAGAUGUCCGGUAUGCAAGACAGAUUUAGGGGUUGCUCCAAUGGAAAAGCUCAGGUAGUUUAAUCAUCUACAUAUCGUAUGUUUAUAGAUUAGCUGGAUGCUCAGAUAAUGCAUUAGCGUAUAUUAUCCCAAGCAAGAAAAAAGAAAAAAGAAAAAAGAAAAAAAAAGGAGUAUUCUGUAAAACAUUCCAAUAUGAGUUUAAAAUCAUCAACUCUGCCCUUAUGCUGCUAUCCUUUAUUGAUUCAUUGCUUGUUUGGUCAAUAAAAGGUAUAAUGAAUUUGUCAUUCCCUAAUGUUCUUGGUGCAGCAUUAGGCUUAUAACAAGCUUACACUUAUGAUUUCGGCACUACAGCAGUUUUUGUAACCUCAUAACACAUUUCUGGCAUAAUGUAUAAAUCUUAUGUUGAUUCUAUUACUAUCUGACCUCCCUCCUCAUAGCUAUUAAAUACCUAGCCUUCUUUUCUAAAUUUGUAGAUAUCAUCAAUUGUUAUAAUAAUUUCAUCAGAUGUGUGCCAGUAUAUUAACCACAAAGUUAUGCUAAAAGGACCAAGCCAUGGUUGCAUAUUAGUGUUAUGUUUCUUCAGUUCUGUAAUUUCUCUUCGGUCUGCAGGGCUGACAAUAGUCUGGAAGACAUAAGGGCUAAGAUCUUCCCUUCUGAAAGUAAAAAGCUCAAGGCACGAGUAGCAGACCACAAUCUGCAAGUUGUAGACUCUGAGAAGGUAUUGCCUUCCGAAACAAGAAAUGCCAAGACAACUGACGUUGGUUUGCCCUCCAUAUAUUCAUCAGGGAGAAAAAAACAGAGAUUCCUCUCUUCAUUAGGAACAAGCACAACUACAGCUACAACGAGUGGAAAACGGUAUUUUACUAGAAAGAGUUCAGUUCAACAUGAGAGUCAUCUUUUGACUCGAGAAGAACUUGUUCCCAAACAUGAAAAGUUUCCAGAGAGGAUCAAAUCAUCCGAGAACCUUAGAGAAUAUUCAACAUAUGCCAGACAGGUUAAUAAAAAGAAAACAAAUUGAUUUAAUGGUUUUGCUUGUCCUUUUUGUUGUUCUUAAAAUAUGUUACAUUUCUAUCUUUUGUUGCAGAAUGCUACUGAGAAGUUGUUUAAGAAAGACGAGGUGAACAAUGACAUCAUGAACAAAGCACAACCAAGAUGGACAACUGGUCUGAUGGAAACUGAAAGAGAAGAUGCAAGAGUGCUAAGAAAGCAAGUGUUCUUAAACCUCAACAAUGAACCAGAAGAGCUUAAUACCUUUCAGGAACAUGGCAAUAAUAAUGAAUCUAUUCCUGCACCAUUAGGUUCACUGCCAAUUGCUAAAGGCCAACGUGGCCACAAGAGAAAAGUAGUACCAGAUCCUGAGGAGUUACAAACUCCAGCACAACAUGUGGUGUUUGACGCAAAUAUAGAAAGUGAACCAAGAUCUAAACCAAUCUGGUUCUCAUUGCAAGCUUAUCCAUGGUGAGAUUCUGUUCCUUUGGAUUAAAACAUGAAGUGAUUUUGAUAUUUUUUUCUCAGUCCAUAUAUGUCAAGCUUUACAAUCUAGUAAGUCGAUGGUUGUAGGGAAGGAUAUGCACCCUUGCCACAGAUACCUUCGUCUUACUUGAGAGUCAAGUAAGUUCCAUUGACUUUAAUCUCUGUCUGAUAUUGAAGUGUUAAGAGGCUUCACAUUUUGCUUUUGAUAAAUGCCUUAUUCAUUGAACACUGUUUCUAUUAACUUGUCAUUAAAUUUAGAAUGCUGAAAUCUGUUUGCAUCAGUCCCUAAACUUCUGUUUGCAUCAUUCCCUAAACUUUUGAACAUCAUUCCCUUUUGUUGCUGCAGUGGUUAUUGAAGAUCUUCUUGUCGGGUUAGCAAAUUGAUAGCGACCGAAACCGGGCGUUUCAAUUAAAACCCUUUUGUGUCAAUUGUAGUAUAUAGCAAAUAAGGGUAUCGUUAUAAAAGCCGGGGAUUGAGGGUACCUUUACAAUUACGUUAAUUACAAAAUAAGAGAAAACAGAAGAUAAUAGUACUAGAGAUAUGAGAUUUUGUGAUUAUAAACAAGAGAACACAAAGAAACAAAAUAAAGCAGAAAAUAUUAGAUGGAUGAGACGUUAGAGACUUGGAAAUCCACCACCAAGUAUGUUUCAAGAUAAGUUAACAACCAAAGCUUCAAUUAUUAAGUCACAAAUUGGUAUCAAUCAAGAACAAACCGUAAACGCACUGCGUAAGUCCUUAUUACUUCCCUUGAAUACUUAAGUAAGAUGAACGCACCAUUACUAAGCCUUUAGAAUAACCGAUCAAUGUAUAGUUCCUUGAAUACUUAAGUAAGAUGAACGCACUAUUACUAAGCCUUUAGAAUAACCGAUCAAGGUAUAGACGCUAUCCUAUCAACAAAUUAUUCUAAGCAUUAAGAUCAAUGAAAAUGAUUGAACAAGUAUGCAAAACAAGUGUGGAACGCCUACCUAGCAUGCAAUCCUUUUUAUUUGGUUUCACUUAUUGUCCUAUAGGUUUUACUACUUUGAACUAAGCCGUAUUAACCGUUUAGGAGAUUAAACAACCUAAUUCUAGCCCCACUCACAAGUUCAUAAUGUUCUAUGUUGCGCAUACAUGAACAUAAACAAGCAAGAGUUCUCCAUAAACCAAAACCAAAUAAACAAUUUGAAAGACUUAAUAAUUUGAAACCAAGGUUCAAAACAAUAUUUAAAACAUUCUUGGGGCUUCAAACCUUGCCCCUAACUAAGAGAAUUCAGCCACACAUGGCUGCAAAAUCACACAAGGAAAAUAAAAGAUGACAAAGGAAAGGUAAACCGUGGAUGAUGGAGAGAUCAAUGAUGGCUUGGCGGCUUCCUUGUGCGAGUCCGUUAACUGUGGAGGUUCUGAUGAUGUGAGAUCGCUGGCCUCCUCUCUUCUUCACGUCCUCUCUCUCCUGCUGUGAUUAGGGUUAUAAAACCCUUAAAACUCGUCCAUGGGUUUGCCAAUGUGGUCUGGGCCUCAAAAUAGAAGUUUUGGUCCAAAUCAGAAAUUCGGGCAGACUGACCUUCGGCCACUUAAACGGUCAUAACUUCUUCUCCAAAAUAGGUAUUGACGAUCUGUAAAAGGUUCUGGAAAGUAGACUCUUGUAGCUUUCCAUUGAUAUAUGGUACAUCUCCUGGAUCGUUGUGAACUGAUCACAAUCUUCUGUCGAAGUUGACUGACGAUUUCUGAAAGAUUUUUUGAUUUCUUUCCUUGCAUGAGAUGAAUUCCUUUUCCUUCAAGAUUUCUCCUCUUUUGUCUCUUUUGGGCUCCUUGGCUUUAUUUAUGACCUAAAAACAUAAACUUAGUUAAUAUGAAUAUUGUUAAGGGAAUUAUAUAGCUAAAUAGGGUCGGAAAUACAUUAUAAACGUAACACUUUGUGCUCCUAUCACAAAUAUGUAUUGCUUUCCACUUUACUUCUUGGCAAAAAAAAAAUGCAUUUUCCUGCCCUUUGAUCAUAAAGACAUAUACAAUUUUAUUCUAAAAAAAGAGUGCAAAAUUAAAAUUGUUGUGUCUGAGCUCAUCAGAUAAAAUUUAAACACUUGGGAUCAGUUUUUGUAUUUUAUUUUGUCUGGGGGCAAAUGUUCUUGCUUUUCCCUGUUCGUCGAUCUUUCAUUGUGGAAACCCCUGGCUUUCAUACUAGUUUAUUUAAGUUCAUUGAGUAUAUAUGAGCAGGGUUCUAUGGUCAGUGUGUUUACUUGUUUUUCUUGGAUUUUUGUUGCGUGCUAAGAAUUCCAAUAAGACAAUGCCAAGUGGUGAUCAACCCGAAAAUGCUCUCUUUAAAUAUUCUGGAAAAUUUGCAGUGUUUACUGUAAUUUCUUUGUUUAGUCUGAUUCCUAAUCACACAUGAAUUUGAAUUUGUUUUUUCAAAUGUCUCAGAGAUGGUAACUUACCCAGUUCUUUCAUAAAAAAGUAUCUGGUGAGAAAGCUGCAUCUUCAGAGCGAGGCAGAGGUAAAAUCAUCUGCUUUCCCUUUUCAAAUUAGUAAAGAUGCAUGUGUAACCCUUCUGUUUAUGAUAGUUAAAUGCAUGGAGGUUCCAUUUAGAUUAGUUACAUCUUAAGCUGACCUGAUUCUUUGAUGCCAAAACUUUUUACUUGGAACUACAUUUAUUGUUUUACCACCAAUGACUUCAGAAGUUGGAUCAUAUGUGGAAAAGUACUACCUUCUUUGAGAUUUUAAAGACGGAUAAGGAGUCAAGGACAUAUACUUGAGACAACAGAAUUCUGAGCUGUUGUUUCUGAUAGAAAUUUCUGAAAGGACAUUUUUGUAGUCAAAACCAAGUGUGUUGAUUUGUUUUAUCAAUGUUGCUCCACAUUUCAAUUGUCCACAUUUCAUUUUGUCUUUUGAGUUGGCCGGACUUGACAACGCAAAGUUAUCUCAGCACAAAGUUUCUUUCACUUCAUUUCCAACGCAGGUGGAGAUUCUAAUGUGGGGUCGGCCGAUACAUCCCACAUUGUUGUUGCAUGACUUGGUGGAUUUGUGGUUACAGAAAAUAUCAGCAUCAAAUAUAAUACAGUCCACAGUAGGCAGCUCGGCAAAGGAGUGUGUGAUGGUUAUAACCUACUGUCGAAAAGUGCUACACCGCUGGUAGAAUUGUUUAAGCGACCUGCAUGAAUGCACUGCUGUUGAAUGUGAUCGAAGUCCUGGCAGUUUCAGCCACCUUCACCGUACAUCAUGCAGUUAGAUUUAGAGUUCCAUUUCUUUUUUCUUUUCAUCCCUGCAAGCAUAAAUGGUUUGCUGCCUUCAAGAAAAAAAAUAAUGCUUUGCUUGCAGUGUGGUGUGUCCGGCACUACAUGGAACUGUUUCGUGGAAAAAUCAGAAAUUAUGAAAGGUUCAACUUAUGUCCGCAGUGUUGGUAAUAGUAGAUUUUGCACAGGAUGGAGCGUUUCUGUCUUGUUAAUAACCUCACUAUAUACGGAAUAACUAAGAAACAGGUUAGAGAAUAACCUGAAUAGAAAGUUGAACGCAAGCCUGAAUUUUCUUGAUAGUUUAAAAUCAAAAGAUAAGCGUGUGCUAGUUAUGAAUACAAUUUGGACGGUUAUAGUUUCAGUACAACUUGGAGGGUUCAGUUCAAGUGCAAUUUACAACUGAUGGAGCUUUUCUGUAAUGUUCAUUUCUAACCUCAAUAGAUAUGCAAAUAACUAGGCAACAGGUCAUGCGAUAACCUCAAGAGAGAGGAUGCUGUAUGCAAGCCUGAAUUUUCCAUAUAGUCUAACCUCAUUUACACAAACUGAUACUUUUUAUCAAAUUUCUAUGAAAAAUCAGAUGGCAUACUCACCGUUGAGAGUUAGCACUGCAGAAAUGACUACUACAAAAUUGCAGUUACAAUGUGUCUUGUUUGGUCAACAUUUACCAUGAGAACAAUGGUAUAUACAAGUUCUCUGCCAAAAGCACCAAGAACAUGAUUGAAUAGGCGAACAAUUUUGAAAAACAAUUAUGCUGAUGUUUACACAAUCACAGACUCCAGAAAGAAGAAGCUAACAUCAGUACUGGCUGAAAGUUUAUCUGCAUCGAACCCUGGUAAAUGAUGAAAUGCUGCCAUCUGCAAUGCAUACAGGGAGAAGCUACAUAAGAACCCAUGUUAGAGGGUAUAAUACCUUGAACGAAUGAUAGGAACAUCUAAUUGGGAGUACCAGAGAUAGUAUUUAACAACUUCAGAAAAGCCACAAAGGAUGGCCAAAGAAUAACAGAGGCACCAUAAACUAAAGCAAACGAAAUGAUACAAGACCAUUUUAGUAUAGACUAAAAAACUUUAGUAUAACAGAGAUACCAUUUAACAACUCGGAAAAAGCCACAAUGGAUGUUUGACAAGAUGGCAUUUUCAAGGAAUUUCACACUUUCACCAAUUAAGGGUAUGCAAGCACAUAUCCCUACACAUGUAAUUUCAGGUAAUCACCAGUAAUGAUGCCUUUGUUAUUAAUCAAGUCCGAACAUUCAAAGUAGAUGUGUAUGCUACCAAAUGUCACAUAAGCCAUCCAUACAUAAACAGAAAAAUGCAUACCAUAGAUGUAAAAAGCACCCAACUUGAUUCAAUCCCUGAUCAAGUCCUGAGUCAUAUGUGUGUUUGUGUUCAUUUUGCAUAAAACAUUGGCAUUGAUAAAUCAUUUUCAAGUGAAGAUGGCAGUGCAAUGUUACUCACACUGGCCAACAGAUAGCAUAGACUAAUGCCAAAGAAAUGAUACAAGAUCACAUGGAAUCAAUCAAAUGGAAGAAACACCAAGUUCAGAUAUGUAUGCGACAAUAUGAUAAAUCAAAAUCUUACUAAAACGGUAGAAAUAAAACAUUAAAUUCUGUUAGUUUCUAAUUAACGAGUAUCACAAGAAUUACCAAUAUCUGAAAUUAUUUGGCACUUGCAGCAAUAUGGUCUGAUGGUGAAGCCAAGUACUAACUUUGGCUACAACCGUCUUCCACAGCUACACUUAUUUUAGUCCACCGAAACGAUGCCUAGAAAACAGGUAAUGCUACAGGAAGAAUUUAAUGCUUGACAACUAACACACUUCAUUUUGAAUAACUUGGAGCUUAAGAUAAGUAAAAGACAAAAGACAAUGUAGCUAAGAUUCAAAAAACCAACAAGACACAAAAACACACCAAACGAUCCAUCCGAACUUGCUUCCUUUAAAUAAAGCUAUAAACCAUGUAAUAGGCAGCGAAAAAAAUCUUAAGAACUGGUAACAAUUCUAGAAUCAUUGCUCACUUGAACCUAAAAUGCUUUAUAUAUGGACAUAUACUAAACAAAGCUCCAACUUAUUCGAUACAACAAUCAUAAAACUCCCAGUUCUCUACACAAUUCCUAUCACAGCAAUCCACAUUGUGCUAACAAUUCCAAUCACAAAGACUCAAACUUUUCGCAGAUUCAUCGAAAACCCAGAAACAAAAACGCAAAACUCACCUCAUCAAACAUCAAAGACCAAAACGACCAUCACAUAAUGGUGUAGUUCCCACGCGGGUCAGGAUCAUCCGAAAGCAGUGCCCCAUAAGGCGACUCCUUAUCCUCCAUCACAAGAUCCUCCGUGCCCCUAAACACCGCAUGAACACAAACCACCACCGCCCCCACCACCCCCGAAACGACGACGUUCAGCCACACGUUUGUCAGCACCAGCGCCACCACAGUCACCAAUCCCAGCACAGCCAUCACGACCCGGUCCCCGACAACAAACCCGAAGACCGAAACGUCGUCGUCGCGGGAGAAGUAGAAGAAGACCCAGGCGGCGAAGACGAGGAGGAAGACGAUGAGGGAGACAGGGUGGUAGAGGAGGCUGAGGAAGAGGACGACCAAGACGAGCAUGGCGUAGUUUGACCGGAAAUGGGUCGAGUUCUGGAAGAGCCGGGUCGUCGCGUCGGAGAAGUUUUGAGGGAGGCUGAGGGCGGAGAGGUCGGAGAAUUCGGACCAGGGGCGGUGGGCGGCCAUCGCUGAUUGGCCGGCUUCUUUGAAACGGGUCACGAUUCCGGUGGACAUUGUUGUAAAGAUUGGAUUUUUGGGGUAAAGAUUGGAUUUUGAGAAGAAAUUGGAGAUGGGUUUUCUUUGGUUUCUAUGUCAGAGGUGAUUGUGAACUCCGAGUUGACCUCCGAUGGGGAGCUUUGACGGGUUUGGACUGUGUAUUAUAGUAUGAUUGGGCUGGAAAAGCAUAGGUGGUAUAGUUGGGUCUAGACAUGGAGGAAACUGGCCCAGUGGGCUUUUAAAGGUUAGAUGAAGUGGUGGUGGUUAUGUGGAGAAGAAGGGUGAGGAGGAUUGUCACACGAUGAUAGUUGCAGAGAGUGACGCAAAGAAAGGGGAGGCCGAUCUGGAUGUAUGGGAGUAGUGAAGCAAUAGGGGAAAAACUAGCUAGGGUAGAGGCGAUUUAUGUUGCCGAUAUACGUGGUUUUUCGUGACAUUGCAAGGGAGGUGCGACAUGGUGAGUGUAAAACCGAAGCUCGACCAGAGAAUAGUGUGUAAAAAAAAAAUAAAAAAAUCAACAAAUACGGAUAGUACUGUAUGACAUUUUAUGUGCUCGACACUUUGGUAUCUCACAUGCAUUGAUAAACAUAUUCAUCAUUCAUACCUCGAGUUUUAGGGGGGUGUAUUGUAUUUGGAUUCAUACAGACUUAUUUUAAUCAACUGACUUUUUGAAAAGUCUACAGACUCUUUGAAAAGUUCAUAGACUUUCACUGAUUUCUUAAAACCAUUGAUUUUUAAUCACGUACUUUCACUGAUUUCUGAAAUCUACAGAGAUUUCGUAUGAAUGACUUUUGUAGAUUUCUCAAUACUUAUAGAAUUNNNNNNNNNNNNNNNNNNNNAUGAGUUAUUAAUUCCAUAAGUAUGAAUGAUAUUUUGAAUACAUCUGAACUUCUAUUCAUUUUAAAAAGUCUUAAUUGAAUACCCUUGAACUUUGGUGGAAUUCAUAAUGAUUUUUUAAAAUUAAGUUGAAUACACCCAGACUUUGAUUGAUUUUUAAAAGUCUAUAUUAAAUACACCUAAACUUUCAAAUUUCAUAGACUUCUUUAAAACUUCCAUUAAUUCUAUAUACAAUACACCCCCCUUAGUAAAUAUAGAUUACUUUCAUUUUUCAUACCAUAAUCUUUGGUCUGUACAUUAUUACGAAAUCACUAGAUAAAAGAUUUGUGUGUCAAAAUAAUUCAAGGAGCUCUUAUCAUCUUCUCCACAAAAAAUGAGGACCCCUGCUUUCUUGUGACACUCAUAGCUAGGUCGAAUUGUGGCUCGAUUGAUAGAUUAUUGUAUCGCUCAUUAGUAUAUACCUUGACACUGUGAAUUGUGCAUGGGAAUGACCAGAGGAAAAGAGACGAGUACCGUACAAAUUUCUUGUUGCUUUAUCACGCUGGUUAUGUAAAACCACAACCGUAUAUGAUAACAUAUUGGGUUCUACAUGCAGAUAAUGAGUAAAAGCGACGAGUGCCAUAUAAUUAUCACACUGUUGAUGCAAAACCACAAUAAUCUAUGUAUGCAUAUCACUACUAGAAGUUAGGACUUAUGUGACGAAAUGGUUUCGUCGCUUAAGAGUGAAAUUUCGUCGCAUAAGUAUUUAAGCGACGAAAAUUUCGUCGCUUAAGAGUCGUCGCAUAGGUGGUGUCGCAUAGGUAUCUAAACGACGAAACAUGUAUUUUCGUCGCUUAGGUUCCUCUUAAGCGACGAAUUACAUUUCGUCGCUAAACUACUUAAGCGACGAACAAAUAUUUCGUCGCAUAAGUGCCUCCUAAGCGACGAAAAAAAUUCGUCACAUAGACUUAUGCGACGAAACGUUUCUAACUUAAGCGACAAAAUAUUUCGUCACUNNNNNNNNNNNNNNNNNNNNGGGGUGGUGGUGGUUUAGAAGAAGAAGAACCGGAGGAGGGUGGUGGUGGUUUAGAAGAAGAAGAAGAAGUGUGGUGGUGAAGAAGACGAAGAAGAAGGAAGAAGAAGAAAAGUGGAGGGAAAGUUUUGGCAGAAUGAUUCAAAAUUCCAAAUUUUUGGCGGAAAUGACCUAUAUGUGACGAAAUAAAAAAUUUCGUCGCAUGAGUGAAAAAUUCAAAUUUUUUGGCAUAAGUGAGGACUUAUGCUACAAAAUAAAAAUUCGUCGCAUAAGUUUUCACUUAAGAGAGGAAACCAGUUUCGUCUCAUAAGUGCUCACUUAAAAGACGAAAAAUAAUUUCGUCUCUUAAGUUGUUACUUAAGCGACAAAUUUGAAAAAUUUCGUCUCUUAAGCCUUUUUUCCUAGUAGUGUAUAGAAUUUACUAUAUAUCUAUUUGUUGGUCACUGUUCAUCUACAAUAAAAAAAAAAUUUGGCUUGGGCCUUUUUUUUUUUUUUUGCUGAAAAAAAAAAAGUAGAUUGGGUUUCGCAGUUCGCACAUUAUCUAAAAAGGACCCUCUGAAAUUUGCUUUGUUCUAUCUCCGAUGAAAAGAGUAGAUUAGGAAAAGAGUGAAAGAAAGAAUCAAGAAGAAAGAACAUAAGAGAUAUAUUUUUACUACUAUGAUAAGUACUUUGUUGUUAAGUAUUUCAAAUUGAAUUAAAAUUGAAAUACUAAUGCUACUAAUGCUUAUUGUUGAUGGUUCUUGGGUGCUUCCUGAUCUACUUCAACUUCACUUUCCAGCUUUAUGUAAUAAAAUUGAGCAGGUCCCUCUUGCUACUAAUGCUUCGAUGGAGGACACUCUUAUUUGGAUGCCUUCGUCUACAGGAGAUUUGACUGCAAAGAAUGCUUACCAAUUUUUACGGCAUCCAUUUCCCUCCAUGCCUUGGGGUAAGUCCUUAUGGUCUAGAUUUAUUAUUCCUAGAAUGUCUCUACAUGCUUGGAAGGUUUUGAAAGGGAGAGUAAUUUGUGAUGAGCUUAUACAACGUCGAGGAGUGGCUUGGGUUUCAAGAUGUGAGCUUUGUGGUGCAUGUACUGAGUCCCUGCAACAUAUUUUCUUGCAUUGUCCCUUUACAGCUGCUAUAUGGUCUUAUUUCUUAUCUCUUUUUGAUCUGGGGGCUACUCCUCAUACAAUUGUGAAUUUAUUUCAUAAAGGUCUGAGUAUGGGACAUAGCUCACAGCUUAAGGAGCUUUGGUUGAUCUGUUUUACUUCGAUUUUAUGGUUUGUAUGGCAUGCGAGAAAUAAGACCAGAUUUGACGGUAAGUCGUUCUCUGUGGCUUUGUCAUCUCAUUUUGGGGCACAUUAGAGCGGCUAGUCGACUUGCAAAUGGUCCAAUGCAUAAUUCAGUUCAGGAUUUAUGAUUAAUAAAGAGUUUUGGUGCAGAGUGUCGAUUGGGAAGAGCUCCAAGAGUUAUUGAGGUUGUUUGGCAUCCUCCAGUCAUUGGGUGGGUGAAGAUUAAUUCGGAUGGAGCUUGAAAGCAUGCAGAGGGUGUUGGAGGUUUUGGUGCUGUUUUUCGUGACUUUAAAGGUCAUGUUCUUGGUGCUUUUUCUUCCAACAUUGACAUUCCUAGUUCAGUAGCAGCAGAGGUGAUGGCAGUUAUAGUUGCUAUUGAGCUUGCUUGGGUAUGAGACUGGAAACACAUUUGGUUAGAGGUUGACUCGUCACUUGUGUUAGACUAUCUACGGUCUCCUUUGCUUGUAUCUUGGCAUCUACGUGUCCGUUGGCUUAAUUGUGUACAUUGCAUAUCGAAGAUGACCUUUCGAUCUUCUCAUAUUUUUCGUGAAGGGAAUAAGGUUGCAGAUGCUCUGGCUAAUCACAGUACGUCGUUAACACAACUGGUUUGGUGGGAUUCACCUCCUCCUUUUAUUUUGUCAUAUUGUAGUAGUGACCUUAUGGGUCUUCCCCAAUUUCAGUUUUCAUAGUUUUGUUUCGUUAUUAUUUCGUUAUGAGAGGUUUUGGUCUAAUCCCCUCUCUUGAUGUUUCUUUUUUUUUCUUUUUAAUACAUAAGAGUGUUAGGGGGUCAUUCCUCUCUCACUCAUCUUUCAGCCAAAAAAAAAAUUGAAUUUAUAUAAAUCUUGCACUUUGAUACAUUAGAAAUGAGAAUAAAAAAUAAAAAAAUUAUGAACACAAAUCUCGCAAAUCCUACAGCAAAGCGCGGGUCAUAAUUGUAGUAUAGUCAUAUGUAUGAAUAUUGAGAUUGUGGGUUUAGGUAUACGUCGUUACGUCUUGAUUUUUUUUUUUUUUUUUUUUUUUUUUUUUUAUAAGAUACGUAAACAUUUUAUUAAAGCAGACUUAGGUACAAGAUAACAUUCAAUUACAACGAAUUCAAUAACAACGAACCAACCACGAACUGGAAAUAAGCUCAUAUCCAGCAAUCAACUACUAUCUCCUAAACUCACAUGUAUACGACAUAUACAGAGACGAGGACCAUACAAUUUUUGAGGUGAUGAAAUGGUUUUUAAGCUAUUUAAUUAUUAUGGUUCACCGACUAUCUCAAUAUUAUUCACAUACGUACCUAUUCAUUCAUUCCUCACUUUGAAACGAAAUAAUGAAUCAGUAAUCAAUGAAACUUGUCUUCUGCACUUUAUUGCUAGCUAGGUAAACACAAAAUAUUACAUGACGUCCCGAGUCCGGCAUGCGCAGUACGUCGCCGUUGUAGGGUAGGGGAUGAGGGCCGGGAUUGUAUGAAUUAUAUUACUCCCACCACCAGCUCAUAUAUAGGCCAUGAAUCAUAAAUAGUCUAUAACAAAUAAUCUAGUCCUGCAUUCAUAUAUACCAGAGACCGAGUAUCAGAAGUCUCAUGCAUGCAUGUUUUUUUUAUCGAAGAAAAUAUCAAUGUUUGCAUCAGUGUGUGAGUAAUUUUAUGUCUGAUACCCACGAUAUAGGAAUCAAUGAAAGAAAGGAGCCACAGAACAGGGAAGGCAGGGGUGUACAUCGUACGUACCUACUAUAUAUAAACAGCUUUCAGAUUAGAAAGAAGGACGAGGGAAUUCGAAGUCAGAAACUCAGAAUCAGAUUUGAGGGGCAUGCAUGCACUACCUUCUGUAGGCAAGAGAUGCAACAUGAUCAGCUGCGCUAUUCGUCUGUAUUUCUGCUGGACCAAAUCCAGCUAAUUAACUUGCCAGACUAAAAUUUAUAGAGGCUAGUAAAAAAAUAAAAAAUAAAAUACAACUUACACCAUGGAAAUCAAAAUUAUUUCUUUGGCUAUCUCAAAUUAGUUAUUUUGGACCAGUAGAAUAAAAUUAGUUAAUACUAUUUUUGCUAUCAUAUAUAUAAUCUCUCUUAAUUAUUUUUUCCAUCCGUGUUCACAGAUUAUUUUUUUUUUUUUCAAACACGAAGAACGUGUAAGUGUGUAACAUGCGGGAGGAGGAGCUAGAUUGUGUAACACACGUACAAUGACAAACGAAUCAAACUUGUUUCUAUUCAUACGUGUUCACUGCAGUAGUACUGCUAACAAGCCCAAAAACCAUUAGUUUGUCUCUCGUACGUUUUGAAGCUAGCUUCAGAUCUAGAUCUUGAAUCCCGACAUAUGCAUGCAAAUUUGUCGUUCGAUCAGUGAGCAAUUAUUAUCUCUCAAUUAAGUAGCGAGGUGGGAAAUGCAUGAACACUACCAGAUCGACCGAGGACCAGUAUAUUCAUUCUGUAAACACAUGCAGUAGUUCGCAUCUGCGAUAUAUAUGCAGUGCGCAUAAUUUAGAUUUUUAACUGCAUGAUCAUAUAUAUAAUUUCACCUAGCUUAAUUAGCCUGGCAUUGGGCCUUUUCUACCAUACGUACGUUAAAUAUGAUCCAUUAUUAUUAUAGUAAACUACAUAUUAGUUACUAACCAAAUAUCAAUUGACAAAAAGAUCCAUUAAGCAUAUUACUAAACAAAUAAGGACAAACAUUUACAAAUAAGGACAAACUGUUAUAUUGUUGCCAUGUGGCAUUGCACAUUUACAAUUUUGUCUUUAAUUAAAACAUAUUUCCUUGCUACUGUCUCCGAUUAGAAAUCUGCUACUACUGCCUCCGACUGGAAAUUUGCUGCUACUGUUGCCGACCAGAAAUCUGCUGCUACUGCCACCGACUAGAAAUCUACUGCUACUGAACCGAUCGAAAAAUUUCCUGCUACUGCACCAAUCGUUUACAAAUAUUCUGCUACUGUGAACUGAAGAAGCUACUACUGUCGAACCAAACAAAGUUUCUAUGUCGCGAUUGGAAGCCUUCUGCUACUAUAUAUCAUGAUUGGAGGUCUUCUGCUACUGACCACUGAAUAGUUACUGCUACUAUGAAAUGUGCAGUAGCAUGACUCGUACUCGUCCACACCUAUCUAAAAUCAACGACAAUCAAAUUGAAAUUGUGUGAACAAGAAUCAACUCACCUUCCCCCUCACCAUCCUCACCGUUGAGUCCACCCAGGGAAUUGAUUCGAAAUCGGAUUGGAAAAGAAACGAAGCAGUAGCAGCAUGACUAGCUAGAACCUCUUCUGAUGCAACCCUCUCUCUCCCUUCUGAACCACCAUCCUUAACACUGAGCCCGAACCCCGCUUCACCUCCAUCAAGGCGUUCGCCCCUGCCACCGUGGCGGCCCAGGUUUGCCUUCCUUGGAUGCGCCAUCAAUGGCCUCGGCGACUUCGUCUCCCUCACCGUCGACCUCCAAGUCCUCCCCAGUGAGAUCGAGAUCUCCUUUAGAACUUCACCGAGAUCGCCGCCAUCUCCCUCUNNNNNNNNNNNNNNNNNNNNGAGAGAGAGAGAGAGAGAGAGAGAGGUUGAAUCGGGAUGGAUGAAGAUGCAUACUAGUUUCAAAAAUUUAUGUAGCAAUUUUUGUAAUUUUGUUGUAAAAUAGGGUAUUUUGGUCAUUAAUUAUGAAAAAUCGGAUCAGGCUAGGUAUUAUUGUUAUUGGGCCUCAUGCUUAUGUCUUAAUUUGUCUAAAUAUUAUUAAAAAUGGAUUUUUUGUGUUUUUUAAUUUGGUCAUGUGCUACUAUGUAAUUUUAUCUUAUUAUUAACAAAAAGAAAAUGUGUAGAUAUGAUGAUUUUUUUUAUUUUUCUCCCCAAAAGAUUACAUAUUUUUGUCUUCUACCAACUGAUAUUUAUGCUAGAAAACAGUAGUGUCGACGUUCGUCCAAAUCAAAUAGAGAGCGUUAAGGACACGCAUGGAUCCAAACCACAUAUAUAAGAAGCUCAGAAAUAGGGUGGAUUUCUGGAUACAUACCAAAGAAGGAAUAGGAAGAUAGUAUUAUUUGUCCAAAAGAAAAAGGAGGCCGGAAAGGGAAGUCUGUUCCACGCAAAACACAUUGAGGACCGAAGGCUGAACAUAUAUGUAAAUUCAAGACCAUCCACAUAUAUGGAGAUAAUGAUUUUAUGGUUGAACGUAUAAGCAUCUGUAGCCUUUGCCUGGAUCUUAAAUAACACAUACUGGACCAGUUCGCACUUAUUAGUCUAGCAUUAGAAGAUGGUCCUGAAAAAACAACAAUGGAAAAUUUAUCACAUCACAGUACUUGAUAACUAAUAUCUCAUUUUCUUUUUCCAUGCACUCUCAUAUAAACCAUCAGGAGUACAGUACUGGAUGUGAUGAAAAUGAUCGAAUCAUUCAGACUUCGAUCUCUAGAGAACAUGCAGAAUCAAAUUGGGUUCUUGACACAACUAUAGGAAGUGAUGAAAGGCAGACGUAUGAGCCAUGAAGUGAUUAAGCAUUUAAAAUGUCGACCAAGGAUCAGAAUAUAUACCAGUGCACGUACAAUGUUCAUAUAUAUAAGAGCACCAAAAAUUAUCACAAUACAAUAGGGUUUUUAGUUUGUUUUUUUUUAGUGAAAAUGGGGAUUGACAAAAACUGUAAAAGAACCCAGAUGCGAAGAACGCUCAAUCAAAGGCAAAGUGUGAAACGAUUCAUUACAAGGCCAAACAUCAAUGUAUAAAUUAGGGUUCACGCGAACGUUUUAUUCACGUACUUAUGUUCUCUCCUUUCUUUUUCACUUGAAGGAGAACAAGCAAAUUACUGAUAUGAAAGUGAAACCACAUCCAUUCACAUAUAUAUAUAUAUAUAUAUAUAUAUAUAUAUAUANNNNNNNNNNNNNNNNNNNNGUGGUGUGUUUGGGACAUGGACAAUGAGUAUACCAAAGGACGAAAAAUUGACGAAGACUAACUUGAGUUUAAAUGAACAUAAAGAGUGACUGUAUUAUAUAUCACCUCUAAAAAAAUUGUUGUAGAGAUGAGCUAUAUAUAAAUUAUCGCCUAUUUUGUAUUCAAUUUUUUUAUAUAAAAAAAUUAUGAUAUACGUAGGUGGUGGCCGGUUUAGUGGCAGUCGGUAACGAUAGAGCUACGUACGUAUGGUGGUUAAAGGUUGAAAAAUGAGGUGCAAAUAUGGCUAUGGAAGGAGGCGAACUUCCCUAGCAAACGCUUUAGCUCAUUUAGGCCGGUCAGUUAAUGAUUGUACUUCAUAGUUGUAUCAGUGGCCGCCUCAAGCUCAGCGGUCUUCCAGUUUGAUCUGUUAGGUUUUGGUUGCAUGCAAGGCUUCUCGUUGUAAUGUUUUGGUUUACUAAUCGGGAAAAAAAAAAACAAAAAACAAAAAAGGGUAAACUGACUCAAUAUUAUUUGGUCUAGUGACAUAUUCUUCUCUUAGUAAGUGGGAGGUUGUGAGUUCGAGGACUUACGAAGUUGUGAUAUGUGAUAAAAAAAAAAGGUUAGCUCUCGUGUAAUUCUAAUUAGAUGGGGUGGUUAAUUAGUUUAGUUGAAACUUGAAACCCAAUGCUUUUACCAAAUCUUUCUGCUUAAUCAUAUGCGCGCUGCGAGCAUGUAUCAUGUAUGUGAUGUACGUCAUCUAUGACUACGUUUGUUUUUGGUUCUUGUAGUGUUAUUAUGUAUGUAACAUCAAACAACGUGCAAUAUAUACAAGAGUAGACAACAAAAAUAAUUGAUGAAACUUGUCUUGUUCACUUGAGUGCUUGAAAAUCGAUGAAAACCCUAGCCUUGUCUUUUCCGUCGAUGGCGAGAUAAGUGGCUUCAGUUAGAAAGCUUUUCAUAUCAGCAGAAGACAAACUCGUUCAGACCAGAUAAGAUUCUGUGAUCCCCAUUGAGGAAGGUGUAGUAGUGCCGCGAAACACAUGGAGGGAAGUAGUGCCAAACUAUAUGGAUAACCCUGCGUGAAGUCGCUUGUCCAUCUUUUACGUUGCUCUGUCUUUUUUUUUCCCCAGUAAAGACAAGAACAUGCAUAUAUGUGGCUAUAUGUGGCUGUACAGAACCGAAAGAGCAAAGGCUGAACAUGCAUUGGAAUUGCAAGAUAUUGAAGAUCAUGGAGCAUUCGCUUGGAGUUUUGUAAGUUAUUGAAGAUACGUACUGGACCAGUUUCCAGUAUUAUUGUAUAUAUUUAGCUUAGUUGAAGACAAUACUUAAAAUCACUCGUUGUUUUCACACCUGCAGAAAUCGCAGUACAGAACCCAAAGUAUCACCAUUCAUCGAUCAGUAACUUUAAGAUUGCUCUAGCAAUUGUAUCACAAGUCACAAGAUACAUAUAAUAGAGAGCUUGCUAAUUAACUAACAAAAACAAAUUAGAACCUACGUGCUAGGUUAGUUUCAUUUUCUUUUUUAAACUAACGGUCUCAAGAUAAAUAGUUGAUUCAUAUUAUUCAUGUUAUGUUUCAAAUGAUAGGAAAUUAAGGGUUGUUGAAUUGAAAGAGAAAUAAAAACGUAAAGAAAACGCAAAGAUCGAGUGCUUUAGACUACAAUCAACACGCAGUUGACACUAGUCUGUGAUACUCUCAUUUGAAAUCAAACUCUUCUCUCAUGAAAAACAAGCCGGCCUGUUGUAAAUGUGAGAUUUUCCACUUUUUUGAAGCUUCUCACUCAGUUUGAAAAAAAAGCAUCUUCAAGAGGAGGGAAUGAGGGAUACACUUCCAUUAGGUUCACGUGUGUAUUUCUGUGCCAAUGUGAACCGCACACGUGGCAUGAUCUUGUAGAAACAGAGCCGAUUCUGAUAUCUAAAUAUGGCUAUAAAUAGGGCGCAUUGCAAGAGCAAAAGCACCAACAGAAAACAGAAGCCAUAAGCCAUAAGUUACAUAUCCUUGUUCGAUCUCUGCCUUUUAGCCACUAUCAUCAUGCUUGGCCUAGUAAACAAGGUGGCCUCAGUAAUCCACCACCCUCAUAGCCCGUUUGCCAAGUCUGACAAGAAGAUCUUGGAUGAUAUUUACACUACUCAUGUCCAUGCUGAUGAUUCCUUCGAUGACGAUUCUCUUUUCAUCAUUGUUGAGAGUAUCCUCAAGCGUGCAACCCAAACUGUCGAUAAAAUUGUGCAGGUACAAAUCACACAUAACAUGUAACACGAUUACAUAUGCCUUGGUCGAUUUUUGCAUACGUACAAUAUAUAUUUACGCAAGAAUGACCAAGCUAGGAUGUUCUUUGCCUAAGAGAAGCUGUCUUUUUCUGUUGUUGGUAGUGACUAGCUGCAUGCUACAUUCUUGUGGUUGUUGCAGGGUACCCAAGUGCAUGUGGAAGACAUAGAGGAGCAAACCCCCAAAGCCAACUUCAGUGUACCAUUGUGCACGCUUAAGGGAAUCUCCUGCGAGGUCCAUCCGUCCAUAUAUAUACGAUACCAGCAAAAAUAAAAAAAAAUUCCAAAUUAAUUGUUGUUAGUUGCUCGUUGAUUACAUUUUCCAUAUAUUGAAUAUUUCUCUAAUUUCAGAUGCAAUGCAAGCCUCCUGGUGAAGAAAUCGCCCAUGAGACAACACUGGCAAUACUACACAAGCUGUCAAAGUAUUCAUGGGAAGCAAAGGCAUCACUGACCCUGGCAGCUUUUGCUAUGGAGUUUGGUGAAUUCUGGCUCCUUGCAGAGCUUCGUGAAUCAAACCACCUUGCCAGGUCAAUUGCAAUUCUCAAACGACUCCCUGUUCUCCUCAAGCCUUCUCAGCUGCACAAGCGCAGGCAAGCAAUACUUGAGCUUAACAAUCUGAUCAAGGCCACACUGGAAGUCAUUACAUGCAUCGACCAGUUCAACAAGCUUUCCAUUUAUGACCUGAAUGAUGUCCCCGAGUUGUCGGGAACAUUGGAUCAUGUUCCGGUGGACGUAUAUUGGGCUAUCAUGACUGUUGUGGCUUGUGCCACUAAGAUCACACUACUCACUAGUGAUGAGUAAGUUCCCCGAUCUCCAUCGUUUUAACGAAUUAGCUAAUUACUAUACUCACUGUUGUGGUGUAAGCAUUGUUCCUGGAGAUUGAAUUUGUGUACCGAUUUACGAUAUUUACCCUAUUUAAUUUGCCACAUAUUGUUUCAGGGACAAAGAAUUUGACCUAUCUCCCUAUUCUCAAAAGAUCCACUUUGUCCUUAACAAGCUCAAGACGCAGCUAACAAUUUGCAGAGCACGAAUUGGUGGGUUAAUUAAUUGCAUAUUUUUUAUUAAUUGAGGUUCACAUUAGUUCUAUAUGUGUACUCUUUGAAACGAAAUUUGAAGCAAUUUUAUUGUUGUCUAAUGCAGAGUUCAUAGAAAAUUAUAAAAAGCUCAAGAAACUGUUCCGAACACCUACUGAAAUUAUGGAAAUCUUUAAGGGUUUGUUAUUUACAAAGGAUAAUGUCCAGCCACUCGUUGAUUGUUCCACUAAACAAACGGUUUGUGCAUCAUCUCUAGGGCCAUCAUUUCUCUACAAAUUGUAACAACAAUAGUGAAACUUAAUGGUGCCCAACUCUUUAACAGGUGAGCAUCGAAAUCCUAAGGAGGAAGAAUGUGCUAUUCUUCAUUUCCAGCCUCGACAUUACGGAUGACGACAUUUCGAUUCUGAAACCGGUCCACGAGUUCACAAAGAAAGACAAUCAGUAUAAGAUUGUGUGGAUACCGAUUGUGGAGCAAUGGACCGAUGAGCUGAGAAAGAAAUUUGAAAUCCUGAAGAACAAGAUGCCGUGGUAUACGGUGCAGUACUCUGGACCUAUUGCAGGCAUCAAGUUCAUCAAGGAGGAAGUGGAACUUCAAGGUAAGCCAUUACNGGUAGUGAUGAACCCACAAGGAAAGGUCGAACACUCUAACGCUCUUCACAUGAUUCGGGUGUGGGGAGUCAAGGCCUUCCCUUUCACAGAGACGAUAGAGAAAGAGCUGUCAUCAGAUUCUCAUGGAGGAAUUCACUCUAUAGUUGUUGACGGAAUUCACCCUUCUGUGCCAUCUUACGUAAUUCACCUCAACCGAUCAAAGUGCAUAUAUAAAUUCACGAGUUAUUAUUUAUAGUAUUUGCCUAUAUAUAUUACUUUUGACAGUGCAUUACUACAUCAAUAUAUACAUUACAUAAUAAUGAACUAGGAGAGUACGGUCAUCUCCAUUAUUGAUAUAUUUUCACUACAUUCACCUGAAACGAUGAGAAACUUAUUCAAUUUGUUAUCCUCAAACAGAUCAGAGAUAAUAAGUACAUCUUCUUCUAUGGCGGUAAGGACAACGAAUGGAUUCAGCAAUUCACAAAGAAAGCAACUGCCCUUGCAAACGAUCCUAUCUUGAAGGAGGCAAAGAUUUACAUAGAGUUGGUUUGCGUUGGAAAAGGCAGCAAAGGAGAAGAUGACCAUGGCAUUCUAGGCCGCUUCUGGACCGGUAUAGAAAGCUUGUUCCUCACCAAAGUCCACAAGCACGUUGAUCCGAUCGGUCAAGAAAUUCAGAAGCUUGUCUCUUACAAGAACGAAAGUGGAUGGGUGUUGCUUACCAAAGGAUCAACUUUGUUGGUCACAGGUCAUGGUAUCUCCGCAUUGAAGGUGGUAGAGGACUUUGAGAAAUGGAGGGAGCAUGUCAAGGAGAAAGGGUUUGAGUAUUGUUUCAAGGCCUAUUAUGGGAAGGUUAUUCAGGCGGGUCGACCUUGUUGCCGUCUUGACAUUCCGGGGUCUACCGGAAAGGUUCCGGAGUCGAUGAAGUGCCCUGAUUGUCACCGUAGUAUGGAGACUUUUAUCAGUUACAAGUGCUGCCACAUUGAUGGUCCAACUGCACAUCAUUGAGUGCUGGCUGAAUUGGUGUUUACGAUCAGUCCUUCAGUACGUUAUGAUGGACUGUUAUGUUAUCUUUUACUUCUGCUUGUAUGAAUAAGAUGGGCAUGGCCGAUGCAUUGUGAUGCUUGGUAUAACCCAGACUUACGAUUUGAAUUUUCCAGCUAUAAUUAUAUGGCUAGAUGUACUAUGUUUGGUGCUAUCGUACGUGUACCUUUUGAAUCAAAUAAGACCAAUAUUUUGGUGACUAAAUUGAAACCAAUUUAAUUUUUUAUUUCAGGUUAUUUUGUUAAAACAAAACAAAAAAGCUUAAAUUGAAAUAAGGGUUAGUUUAGGAUUGCUGUGACUUUUUAUAAAAAUUGAUUCUGUUGUACUAUGAAUACAAUCAGUUGAGUGAAGGAAAAUACUUGUGUGCGGACUAAUAUGUAUGUGUGCGUCCGGACUCUCUGUUAUUUACAUAUUUUCGGCAAUGUAAAUCAUAAUUUUAACUGUACAAAAGUUGGAUUAACCAAUAAAGAUUAUCUCUGCGAAAAAUCAAUGUAAACAAAAUUCGUUUGCUUAUCCGAUUGCAUUAAACAAAUGAACAGUUCUGAUGAAAGUUAGCAACCUCAUGAUUAGCUGUCAAUUUGUUUGAUUCAUUUAGCUUAACAAACGAUUUUUGUUCACUGAUUUUUUUACAUAGGUGAUCUUAAGGUGUUUGACCCGAAAGCAUGUACCAUACCCGUUUUAUCAGAACACGCGGAUCCUAUUUGACCCGAAAUGCAAAUGCCUAUUUAAGUUGAGAAACUCGAUCGUUGAAGCAACGAUCAUUUUGGAAAAACUAUUCUGGGCUUAGCUUCUGCGAAAAAGUUCUAUGCUUUACUUGAUUUCAAGGUACUCAAAUUGAUAGUUAAAAGUAUGGACCAUUGUCGAUGAUUCUUUUACAGGGAAAUCAUUAGGGAUCGAGUUUGUAUUAUAUUGUUUCUAAUACGUGUUCCUUCUUUUGACGCGAGGAAACCAAACUUGGGUUCUACUAUGAUUCUGGGAAGGAAUUAAGAUUCUGGGAAGGAACGAAAGAAGAAGGUAUAAUCGGUAAGUGCCCAGCACUACAAAAGGGUAAAAGCUGAACGAAGAAAUUUCGACGGGAUGGUGAUGUUACCAUGAAGAAAUAGCUCUAGGAGCUAAGAUACUUGUCUUGCAUUGUGGUUUCUUUUAAAAUUCAUUUAAGUCGGCUAAUUUUAUGCAUGAUUCUUUUUACAUUUUGUGCUUUCAUUGGACCUAAUGAAAUUUUGUGCUUUUAAGCCGUUCGUUUGAGUCUAGCAGGAAAACAAAGUAUUGAGUACAACUCAUACUUAAGGCAAUCCAUCUGCUUUGGCCAAGAAACUUAUUACUGCUGAUUAAUAAGUGAGAUUGAUGUGUUGAUUUAUGUUUUCUGAAUAAUAUGUGAAAUAGUCAUGCUAUCACAUAAAGGCAAUAGCAAGUAUGAUGUCCAAUAAAUAGCUAUUGAUCAAUGACUUGUUCUGUAUCUGUUGGCAUGCUCUUUAUUGAUGUUUUGGUAUAACUGAAAACUAUAUAUGACUAUUUAGAUGAACUCAUUGACAUCUUGAUAAAUGACGCAUUAAUGCCUUGACAAGAAAGCAUGGUAAGUUAGUCAUUAGAUAAUAGACCAAAUUUAUCUUGUUUUCAUGAAAGUGUGGCUGUUUUUUGAGACUGCAUCAAUUUUUUUUGAAAUUGUCCAUUGUAAUUGAAAGUUCAUCGACUCAUGUUAUUACCUACUGGAAAUUUGCAUUCUGGAUGUAUCUACUAAGGAUCAUCUUCAAACAUUUGUGUGUAUAUAUGUAUAUAUGAGUAAAUGUCUAUAAUUAUAAUGAAACUACUCCCUUUUAAACUGUGCUAGUCUGUAGAUAUGCAAAUAGCAUUCAUAUUAGAAAUUUACUAGAUAUGCAUGUGUUGGGAUUUACUUCCAAUGAUUCUUAGCAAAUAUCGGCUAUCAACAUAAAGUUAUCUUUUUAGCUAGUAGUUAAAUGUCAGCGCAAUGCAAAUACAGGAUUUCUGGUAUAACUUGUUAUUGUUUCUCUUGGUCAUUAUUCAAAUCUGUAUAUUGAGUAUUGGAACAAGUCAUGUGCUUUUCUAUAAUUGUACAGUUAAUACUACUUCAAGCUAGUGACAUUUAAUGACAGUAUUUACAUGAAAUUUUGCACAACUAAUUGAGCUUCAUAAGUAUGUGUGAUUGUCAAUGGAAAUCACGUAAAGCACUAAAGGCUACUUUUAUAUCUAUGCUAUGCUAUAAAGUUCCUAUACAGAACACAGAAAAGAGACAUGCAUAGAGCUUUAUUCGAAAUCAGACUACAGAAAUUGUUUGGAUACUAUAUGGGAUUGUAUCUAUGCAUCUACUACUAACUUGAUAUGACACAACUAAGGUAUGUUUUCAAGAACUGAUGAAAUUUUUAUCAAGUGAUGCUUAAGUGCAUCAGGGUUGUACAUGAAUUUGAUUAAAGCAUGUUGCCUUGGUAUUCUAAAUAAGGAUAUUCUGUGAUGAUCACAUGCCGGUAACUAUAGUGAUAUGUCACCAAAAUGCUUCAAUUUUGAUCUGGAAUAUCUUACAUAUGUUGAUAAUCAUUGUGUACUUGUUGUUACAAUUUGCUUGUGUAAAAUUUAGUUAACAAGAUAAAAGAUAUCUCCCAAAAUGAAUCUUGUUAAAUUUUCAUUAAAUUUUACUGUAUGCAUAGUUGGUGUGUUUCUUCAAGCCUUGUGCUCGAUGAACUACAGGAACCAACUUUGAUCUUGGAUCCUUGGGGUGUCUUGGUGGUACAUGUUGAACACAGUAAAUUGCUACUAGGAUCUCUCAUUGAUUAUAAAGGUUAAGAUCAAGAAACUUGUGUUGUACACAUUAAUUUCAUGACUGUAUCUCCCACAGGAGGUUUAAACUUUACAUGGAUUUAAUUUGCGCAUACAGGUUAUACAGCACAUCACAAAAUUGAUAAAAUGCAUUUGUUUUGCCAAGAUCUUUUCUUCUUACCAUACAUGUGUUGACUGAUCUUAACACUCUUGUUCAUUUUGGGUCUUGUGAUUAAGAAACUUCAGAAUGUCAUGCCUCCCCAAUGUGUUUUUACAUACCUGCUUCGAUUUGUUCGAUAUAUGUGUUGCAUUAAUACUUGUUUUACAGCGCUGGGAGCAUCCUGGUAUGCAUCUGUCUAUGUUUUGAGAUUUUAUUGAACUUUGUUUCAAUUCAAUUGCAAGAACCCUAGAUGAUCUCCUGGGGGGUACUUAAGCUUUAGGAUAGAUGCCCAGAUGAAACUUAUCAUAUAGAUUUAGGUGUUGGAAAACCAUUGUUGAUGAUUCUGAAUUGAGUGAAAUGUGUUUGUAGUCUAUGUAGACUGAACUCUUAUGGAAUUGUUUGUGGUGUGCCUAUACCUACUAUAUGAUGUUUGAUAACAUGUAAUUGCUUAUGUGAUUCUUGGACAUAAAAUGACUUAAAUAAAUUCUCCCUGUUUGAAAAAAUUUAUGUUUAAAGAUAACAUAAGUAAAAGACUGAGUUUUCUUAUGAGAUGAAAAUCUCAUGGAUAUCAAAACGAAGGUUAUCAGUCACUGUUUUAGAAUCAAAAUGAGUGUUUUAAAUUUCAUAAUGCACACAGCAUAGUUGUUUAUGAUACUCUAUUUGGUUAUAAAGACACUAAAACAGGAAACUUGCAUAAAGUUGUUUAGAAUGCUUUCGUAUCAUCCACAGAUGGCUUUAAACAAUGUAAUUCUAAGCAAUUUUUAUGGUUUUGUAUGUCAUGUUUGAAGUGCAUAAGGAUGUAUAGUUGGACAUUUUCUUUUGCCAUACAAGUAUUGACUUGUCUGAUUAUAAAACGUACUUUCACACAUGAUAGGACAGUAAAGGAAAAUAAGGAAUGACCAAGUGCUUUACCACACAGGUAUGUUAUUGAAAAGAAAGAUGCAUAAGGAAAAUAUCAUCUAAAUUGAUAUACAUUCUGCAUUGUUUUGUAUUGAAUGUAUAUGAACUAUUAUGAAUUGAUAUGGAUUAUAGUCUUGUUUGUGAUUCUGGUUUUGUUUUACAGUGGUUAAACUUUAGACAAAUAUUUUCUAUAUAUAUUAUAUAUAGGGGGAGAAUAUUUCACAAUUCAGUUGCAUGCUAUUUACUAUAAGAGCAUUUGUCUUUUGGAAUGAGCAUAUUCAUGAAUCACUUGAUUAUUUACACUUUGUGGCUCUCACUAUAGUCCAUUAUGGAUUUUCAGAUAGCUAGAGAACGGUGGGAGCAUUGUUUACACUAUUUAUUGUUUAUUAGUUUUCUAGACUAAAUAUCUUGAGCUUAAAAACUUGGCAUUCUGCCUCUUUUGUUGAAAUGAAUAAGUUCAGACUUUUGAUUACAGUAAGGUUGUUGAAUUAUGAAAUUCAUGUUAUGAGCAUUAACAUGCUAUAAGAACUGUGGUAUGUGAUUUUGCUUAUAAAGAAAUUAUGUAUAUAUGAAAUAUAUAUAUAUAUAUAUAUAUACAUGCCUUUUCAGAUAUGGACCUCCGUAUUUAUUCAAAAGGUACGGAUUUUCUUAAUUGACAUACUUUUCGAUCAUAUUUUCUCAUCUCAACCAUUCAUCUUUUAGGUAUAUAUGAGUACGUAGAUUAUCUCUACAAAAUUUUAGCAAAAUUGAUAAUCAUUAAGGUAUUCAAAUUUGUGAAUUACACGAACGGUUCAUGUUGAACAGAUUUGGUUCGUUCAUUGUAAUCAUAUAGUUUCGAUACCUUAACGAUUAUCAAUUUGGCUGAAAAUUUGUAGAGAUGAUCUACACAUAUAUACCUACAAUGUGAAUGGUUAAGAUGAGAAAAUAUGAUCUAAAAGUGGGUCAAUUAAGAAAAUCCGUACCUCUUGAAUAAAUACGGAUAUUUGAACCUGAUAAUAUCUAGAAUUAAAUUCAGUUUACCCCCAUGAAGUUUGGGAGUAACUUCAUGUUAAUCCCUAUACUUUCAAUUUCAUCAGUUUACCCCUCAAACUUUUGAAUUUUCCUCAAGCGUGACCAAAUGUCCUAUAUUCUGUCCAAAUCGGACGUUAACUACUGAUAAUUUUAACCAUAACUGUGAGGCCAGUAUCUAGAAUUUGGGCAAAUCGGACCUUAUAUGUCCAAAUCGAACCUUAACUGCUGAUAAUUAAAGGUCAAUUCAAACGGAAUAUGAGAAUUUGGGCACGGCAGACAUAAAUUGAAGAGUUCAAGGGGUAAACUGAUGAAAAUAAAAGUGUAGGGACUAACAUGAAGUCACCCCCAAACCACAAGGGGGUAAACUGAAUUUUAAUUNNNNNNNNNNNNNNNNNNNNUAUAUAUAUAUAUAUAUAUAUAGAGUCCGGAUCUAGAAAGGACCUCCUUAAACUCUUAAAGUGAGGAUGUUUUUAGUUCUACCAUGUAUUUUGACAAUCAAAGCCACUCAUUCCCUAGUUACUUACCCACGCGCAAAUAUGAAUCCAACAAAAAAUUAGCCAAAAUGAAAAACGUUUAACCAUUUGAUUAGCACAAUAUUCGUUUUAAUUUUAUCUAACGGCCUACAAUUGUGUACGUCAAUUUGAAUGACCAAAUGAUUAUGGAAUUAGUUGAAAUUUUGUAGACAUGUUUUUUGCAUAUGAAUCUAGAGGAUCAACGGUUGAGAUAGUUAAAUGAAGUCAUCUACUAAUGUAAAAUAGUAGAAAUCUUUAAAUUCUUAAAGUAAGGAGGUUCUCUUUAGAUCCUCCCUAUAUAGUUUUUAUCAAGAGCGAAGCUUCGCUCUGAAAUUAAAGUGUGAAGUUCUUUAUUUGACUCACUUUUUCGUCAUAUUUCCACAUUUCCACCGUUCAGUUUGUAGAAUCUAAUGCAUAGAUCACUUAUGCAAAGUUUCAUCUAAUUUGAUGAUCGUUUGGGUUUUCGUAAUCGUUAUUUACACAAACAGUUCUGGUUAGACAAAUUUAUGGUCCGUUCAUUGAUUUGAUCUAAUUUAGUACCCAAACAAUCAUCAAUCUUAAUGAAAUUUUGUAGAAAUGAUCUAUACAUUAGUAUCAAUAAUCUGAACGAUGGAGAUAUGAAAAUAUGAUGAAAAAGUGAGUCAAAUAAGAAACUUCACACUUUAAUUUCAUAGCGAAGCUUAGCUCUAGAUAGUAACUGUGUGUGUGUGUGUGUGUUGCAUCAUUAUGCCUGUUAAAGGAACACAAGAAAAAGGUGCGUCUAUUGCCACCCCACAAACCAUUUUGGUUACCCCACACGUUGUUGAUUUAUUGAAUGACUAAUAUACAUUAAUGUAAAAUUACAGCAAUGGACAAUAAGUUGUUACAAAUUACAAAUUUCCUCUUUUUAGAAAAACAUAUAUUUCAUAAACCUUAACCAGAAUUUAUCAUAUUCAAUAUUUCUAAAAAUUCGAUAUUUCUAAGAAGUCUGAAGAAGACACUAGCAUUCAACUGAGGAUGAGGUGAACUGUUUGUAUUUUUUUUUCUUCUUUUUUUUUCUUUGUUGAUGCUUCGUCUAUCCAUUUACCCAUUAUUUCUCAUAUCGAUUUUGUAUGUAAAUUUUCAUGUCUAGUCGCUCACUUAUAUAUAUUCGAUNNNNNNNNNNNNNNNNNNNNNNNNNNNNNNNNNNNNNNNNNNNNNNNNNNNNNNNNNNNNNNNNNNNNNNNNNNNNNNNNNNNNNNNNNNNNNNNNNNNNNNNNNNNNNNNNNNNNNNNNNNNNNNNNNNNNNNNNNNNNNNNNNNNNNNNNNNNNNNNNNNNNNNNNNNNNNNNNNNNNNNNNNNNNNNNNNNNNNNNNNNNNNNNNNNNNNNNNNNNNNNNNNNNNNNNNNNNNNNNNNNNNNNNNNNNNNNNNNNNNNNNNNNNNNNNNNNNNNNNNNNNNNNNNNNNNNNNNNNNNNNNNNNNNNNNNNNNNNNNNNNNNNNNNNAAAUCAUGACUUUAAGGACUAUUUAGAUUAAAAUAAAACCAUAAGGACUAUUUGGAUGAAAAAUCGUGACUGUAAGGACUAUUUAGAUUAAAAUAAAACCAUAAAGAUUAAACAGAUGUCGACUUCAAACCAUAAGGACUAUACAAUAUUUUACCCCUAAGAAAAUGAAUCGGAAUGACUAUUUGGAUGAAAAAUCAUGACUUUAAGGACUAUUCAGAUUAAAAUAAAACCAUAAGGACUAUUUAGAUGAAAAAUUGUGACUUUAAGGACAAUUCAUAUUAAAAUAAAACCACAAAGAUAAACAUAUGUUGACUUCAAACCACAAGGACUAAACAAAUUUCAAUUCUUUUUUUUUCAUCGGUGUCAGAGCUUUUUUCAAGUAGAGCUUUUUUCCAUGUGCAUCUUAUCGACGGAUACCAAUGUUGUUAAGUUUGAGAGUUUUUUUUUGUUCUUUAAUUGUGAUUUAUACUUUAAUAUGAUUUUUAUUGUUCAGUUUGUGAUUCCACUUACCCAAAUGAUAGUAAUCUUAUGGUUUUCUUCAAUUUCAUUUUGUUUUUGGAGUUCAAUGGCUAUUGGAAGAGACUGAUAUUGUGUGUAUUACAAAUCGGUGAAUAAAGUAAAUUUAAAAUUAAAAAAAUAUAUAAGCCGGGUGAGAAGAGAUCGAAUGUAGGGUGAAUAAAGUAAAUAUGAAAUUGAAAAAAAUAUAUGUAGGGCGAAAAAAGAAUUUAGGGUGAACAAAACAAAAAUGGGAAAAAUGUAUUUUCGGUAUUGUAAAUGGGUGAACAAAGUGGACUUACAAUUAAAAAUAUAUAAGUGGGGUGUGAAGAGAACGUGGGUUGAACAAAAUGGUUUGUGGGGUGGUAAUAGACGCACCCACAGGAAAAUUUUCUUUGAAAGUUUGUGUUGAGGUUCUUGCAUACAGAACCAUAGAAUGGAUUGCUUUGCUCAAGUGUUUGAUUAUCACCAUUUUCAUCAGGAAACACUUUGGCAAUUCUGUCAUCCCUGAUUGGUCAUGUAUUACAUUUAGAGUCGUGUCGGUGGUCUUUAAGUUACUGAGUUCAAUGAAUGCAAUUUUUCUGGACAUCUGGCAUUUCUCUUUUGUGAUGACAGAUUGAUAAUGUUUGUAUCAAACAUGUGAAAUUUUAAUCUCAAGUGCACAAAGGAACAGUGUUAUAUCUAAACUCAAUAUGAAUUCUUAUUACAGGCUCUAAUGGAGAAAUUUUGAAAAAUGACCUAUUGUGGUUGUUCUAGGAUAUUCUGUAUCUUUCUAGAUAUUCUUUAUGUGUGCCUUGCCUUAUGCCAAUAGGAUAUGUAGUUUGACUAGAUCUAUGUAUUCAUAUCCUAACCAUAUUGGUAUUGUGUAAUUCCCUAUAUAAAUGGCUCAUAUCAAUGAAUAAGAUGAUGAUUCUCUUGUUAUCUCUUUGUCUCUACACUUUAUCCUUCAUCACAUUAUCAUGCACUUUGUUCUAACCCUAGAACUAAUAGCCCACCAUUUUUUUUCCAAACCCUAAAAACCAAAACCGGAGGUUCUCGGCCCUGCCUCGGCCGCCGCCGCCGUUGUCGCUUCCCGGCCGUCCACUCUGCUGCUUUUUUUUCAUCCGAUCAAGCAUCCAAGUGUUUACAGUAUGUUUAUUUUACAACCCUAAAACUCUUCCAAGUUCAAUAACCUCGGGGGAGAUAAAGUGCUUUCUCCCCUUCUUCUACUCCAUUCUAUGCUUGGGUCGGUGUAUUUGCAGGUGCCAAAAAUCCCGAAAUUUUAUUCGCGGGUCAAGAGUGUGUUUGAUCACUCUUGUUUCCUUGUCCGGGUUGUGUAUGAUCAACCCCAACCUAUCACCGGAUUGUGUUUGAUCAAUCCAAGGCCUUUUUCCGAAUUGUGUUUGAUCAAUUCGUGGCUUUUCCGGAUUGUGUAUGAUCAAUCUGAAGGACAAACCAUUAAAAGCAUUGUUUGUGACCUCUAUCAAGUCUCAUAACAGCUUGGUUUUGUAUGCAAGAGCAAUGUAACAUUCUGCUCCUUUGAGUUUUGACGUACUCGAUGCCUAAGGCGAAUCUUCGCUUGGUAUCUGUGGAACCUUUCAUUGGAAAUGAUUAAACCACAUGUUUUGACCCCCAGGUUAACAAGCUUAGAUGCCGAGAUUUCACAUCUCAUGCGCUCAAAGUCUUUGACGCGCUACAUCGACAAAAGUCUUCAAUGACAAUCUGUGCAAAAAGUAAUGACCACAAAAUACUGUGGAAUGCACUCAUGAAGCGUUUCUCGAAACGUUCAUAUAACUCUACUUGUUGAGUUAUUAGUCAACUGGAUUGCUUACCACUUUAAUUGACUACAUAUUGUCGAUGAUAUUUUGUGGCAUCAUGAUCCAUAAUCUUUAGCGGAUUCGAUCAUCAUCAAGUUCUCUAGGUCCUCUAAGUUGGUUUGGAAUUACCAACGAGACUUGAUUUUGAUCAUACAAAUGGGAAUUGUAUAUACGCUAAUGUGAUAAACUUAUUUGGGAUUAUCCCCUAAUGUGGGGACAACAAUAUGGGUCAUGGCAACGGUAGAAAACGUUGUGCCGAUGUCUAGAAAAGAGGGGGAGGUGUCGCCGGCUCUAAUAGCGACACUCCCGGUCUAGACAUCAUUUUGUCAAAACUACUCACGUCAGCUCAUGACAAUGCAACCGUUGUGGAUCUUCGGAUCACUGGUUCAAGAUUGUCCAGCUCCUUCAAAUUGUGAAUGCAUACAAAAAGAUACGGAAAAUCAAUAUGAGGACAAGAACGUCAUCCUCAUGAUCGCGAAUUUCAAAGAUUCGGAUCCUGCUCUAGCUACCCAUGACUUUGACGUCAUCUGUCACAUCCCGACCCUUAUAUUUUUACCUUAUUUACUAGCCUGAUUAUAAUAAAAAUUUUACCGUCUCGAUCAUUGAGUAAAUAGUUUAAUUGGUCCCUAGAGGGGUUUCGGGGACGAUUAUGUGCGGAGAAUUAUUAGUAUGAGGAAAAUACGACGACGGUAAAAAUGGUAAAUUUUAGCUAGUAAAAGGUAAUUUUUAUUCGGGUAUUAUUUUUUCGGGGUGUUUUUAUUUUUUUGGAAGUGGGUUGAUAUGGGUUGGACCGGUGGAGGCCCAACCCAUUUUCUUUUUCCUCCUCCCUUUCUCUUUUUCCGUCUUUUCUUUUCCUCUCCCCGAGCCUCCCGCUGCCCGGUUUUCCGGCUGUCCUCCCGCCGCCGUCCGACCUCCGUUCGCCGCCGGACCGGUCCCGUUCGGUCGGUCUCCCUCCCAGCAACAUUUCUAGACCGGUGAGAGGAGCCCUAGCGCCGCCGUGAGAGAGCGGUGCCGCCCGAAAGCAAGGGCUGUCCCGAACUUCCCUUCGCNNNNNNNNNNNNNNNNNNNNGUCCUUCGUCUAUUUGAGACAUCGAUGUACUCACAUUAGCAAUAAUGAAUUCCUUGAGAAUUUUUUCGAAGUUAUGAAACUAUUCUCCUCUUAUGGUUUGUAUUGAUUUACAAACAAGAUGUACAUUUUUACAUCGUCCUUAGAAGCGUGGCAUAUUUACAAUCUCAUGGUUAGAUUGUGCCGUUUUGGUCUCUUCCAAGUGAAGAUGACUCAUGACACGACAUCCUUAAAGAGGAUCGCCCACGUGUUUCCGGUUAAGUCUUCUACCCUAUGACGGAUUUUCAAUCAUCAAUUGUUCAACUAGGCUCAUCCAAGCUCAGUGUGAUGUCUUAGAAUUGUCCGAAAUUAAGGAGAUAGUGGUUUUAAGUGUGCCUCGCACUACCGACCCUCCACGGACAUGCCUGGUCAUACUGACUUGGAGUUGCCAAAAGCUUUUGAUUUUGGAUCCCCCUACGCUAUUAAACCAAUUGCCGUCUUGUAAAAGACGUUGAAGACUUAUCAAAGCCGGAAAAUUAUCAUCAUGGUCCUCUGAGUUAGUUUAUGUUCAUGUCAAGGAGCUUUUGCUAACUAGUCAUGGAGUUUACAACCUUAGAACGACCGAAAGGACUUGGUUUUGAUCAUACACACGUCAUUUUUGGCUAAGGCAAAAGCCUACACACCACCUGCAAGCUUCACAACUUCGCACAUGUCAAUUCUGCGAAAAACAGCAAUCUGUCCCUUCUGGACAGUAUUCAUUUGAGCUUUGUGAACAGCUCUGGACGAACCAGGCAGUGAGCUUUAUACCAUUGGAAAGCUCUACGAGUAUAGUUUUCAGAACUUUUCGCGGUUCAUCCAUAUCUAUUUUAACGAAGAAGUUAUGGUUGUUUUAGUGCGCAAAGGUCAUUCUGUGCGGAAAUUUUUAUGCACUAUCGGGAUUGCAGUUUUUCGUAGCUUCUUUCAAUCCUUCUAAAUAGUUCAAGUGGAACUAUUAACUAGCCUAUCUACUCCUUCUUGUACAUAUGUCUCAUCGAGACAUUGAGUGCUUCGCAGAUAGUGGAACUAUCCACAACAUUCUAAGGAACCGGCAACUAUCUUUGGAUUUUGUGCCUUUGUAAAUCUUCUGUGACUACAAUGAUUGAAUCAUACAUGUCAUUCAAGGAUACGGUUUAGCUUGAAUCUUGAUGCCUCAUGGCACCAUGAUCAAUGUCACAGAUACCUUCUAUGCAUUGAGAGGCAAUCAAAUCAUAUUGAGCUUUAAAGACAUUCAUGUUAAUAGUUUUCAUUUGAAAACAUAUUGUGAGAAUGAACAAGAAUUCUUUUGUGUAUACCUUCUCAUGAAUGCGGACUGAAAUGCAUCUUAGAGAAAUUUAUGAGUUAAUCUAGUGGACUGUAUGUCACUACGAUUCGAAUAUCGAAUCUCAUGUUGUCGCCAAACAUGAUAUUUGGGACACCGACUCAUAUAGGCUUUGGUUUGACCAAAUUGGUCAACCUGGAAGAGAUAUAAUGGUCCAAAUUUUGAGAAAUUCUCAUGGACAUCCAUUCUUCUGCUCAAAACGAAGACAUUUGAGAUCUAGCAUCACCAUGAAGCAUGGUGGUGACCCGGGGGACAUUGACGUCACCCGAACACAACUCCAACUUCUUGGAGGUCGUCCAGUCAAUUCCUCAAGCAAUUGAGGUGCACCAGCCUUCUCUCGAUGUCGCAUUGGCCCCCUGCAAUACUCAUUACUCGUUUUGAAAGCCUAUUCUUUAGCUAAAUUAGGAGUGAGACCCUCCUACGCUAAAUGACACAAAAGAGAAUAUUCAAUUCUUACAUCAAACUAUAUAGAUAGAUACAACCAACUUGCGGACACCUUUUUAUGCUUCAUGGUGUUGGUUGAAGUGUUAACACACUGGUCACAUGUUACACUAUUAUCUACUGCUUAUGCUGCUUAUACUUCUACGGGCUCACUACCCAUUCUUUAAAGAAGUUUAUCGGGAUGUAAGUUGAAGUGCCAUGUACCCCAUGUUCACACGCAAUACGGUCUCACCGAGGUUACGACCAAGCAACUUUAGCUUGUCGCUCGAACAUUAUUGAUGCGCACCAAUCUUUCUAUUGCGUCUUGGGGCUAUGCAAUAUUUGCAUGUAGUUUUACUAUUCAUCUACAACUCACCAUCAUUGAAUAUUGUUGUACUACAGCUGGUGACUGUGUACUAGGAUUGACACGAAAUUGCAAUCCUUGAGCUUGGCAAGAUUGAAACGGAUCUCCAAUCCUUGAGCUCAGCUAGAUGUUUAUUCUAGGUGCCAAAUCGCACUGCCACCGCACACAAUGAUGGGUCAUUUGAGAUGAAUAAGUAUUUAGGUUGGAUGUGAACCUCCACCUAUAAUCCGCAUAUGUAGAAACCUUGUCAGGCGAUCUCUUUCACCACUAUAUUGCGGAUUGUCACUUUGAUGAGACAAUAUUCCCGCCGUUAGGGGGAGAUAAGAAUACAAGUGUUCAAGUGGAACGACGUGAAUUGUCGUGGUUUGUCCCCACUAAGUCUCAUCUUGAUCCCAAAUGCUUAAAGUGUUAAAGUGACGAGAUCACAUGCUGCAAAUAUGUCUGCAAGGAUUGAUGUCCCAUCAAGAGGACAUGGCGCGACCAAAAGGUGUUGGUCUUGACGCCAUCACCAUGGAUGGUGAUAUAGUGACGUCAUAUAGUGGCAAAAUUGGUGUCACAAGGCCGUGUGGCUCCCUAAAAAGAGGGAGACCCUUAGGUUUGAUACUUUCUCACACUAGGAAGAAAGCGAGCUUGGCAUAACUUGAUCCAUUGAUCAGUGAUACUCAAAUCUGUCUCAUGAAAUCUGAAUUGUGAUUAUCGUUGGGGGAUGCCUCAAUGUCAAAUCCAAUCCAUGUAGAGAUCUCUACAAGUAUUACACUAAUGUAUACGAGGACGUGGGAUAAUGAGUCUACUAUCGAACCACCCUUUGUUGAUGGAUAUCAACUUAGUUGAUUGGCCUAAUGGAAAGAUGCGAUCUAGCAUUAACAAAGAGAUAGGUCCUUGGGCAGGUGAUGCCGACACCGCAAGCUAAACCCUAUCAACUAUGUCUUUGUUAGAUAGCGUAGUGAGAACUUUAUGGCGUAAGGUCUCUCACUAUCACGCACUGGGAUCGACUAUGAUGAGAUAUGCUCUCGUAAUGGAUGUCAUUGAACUCCACUACUUUGUCAGUUUGGUAGUUUCUGAAUAACUGAACAUGCAGCCUAUGAAUGUGAUCAUAAUAACAUCUCUAUGGGAUCAGAGAUAUACAUGAAGGUCUUAAACGGACUUCAUUCAUCCGAAUCAAGUGGUUCCUAACCACAAGAGCAUGCGUUUGCUAAAUGUAUUAAAACGCACAUGGACUCUACUUGAUUUGGAAGGGAUAUGGUGAAUUAUGCCUUUGCGUGUUCAUUCCAGAUUUACAUGGAUUCUUGAUGGAUCAAGAGAUGCCAAUAUGUAUCAACAUCCGAAGAAAAAGAUCUUGGGAAGACACGGUCUCGAUAAGGCAGUCGAUGACUGUAUUGAUGAUGAUGUUCCAUCAAUCGGCUUAGACGCUCUAACGAAAGUGAGGCCUACAUAUACUCCCAUGAUUAGUCAAGGUCUUUGCUCUAAAGAGAGAUCCAUUAUUUUGUCUAAAGAAAAAUGACAAAUAUGUGUUAAGAGAUGGAGUUCUCAUCUAAGUACAAUAAAACGCAUCAAUGUACUCAACACAAUACGAAAGACUUGACAUCUCAUUCGCUAUGAAAAGUUGUAAAGCUAAAUGUAGCUAUGCGCCCACGCAACGCCAAUGUAAUGGCAGUAACUCUUUUUUCAAUACUUAAUGGUAUGAAAGGUUAAGGCUUAUUCUAUCCCUUCAUAAGAAAGACACAUCAAAAGCGAAAUCAGAAUCUGCCAAGUUUUGUAGGUCAACUUCCACGGGACCUACAUGAAAUCUAACUCACUGGAAAAUUGUGAAAUUGGUACCAUUGGAAAGGUCUAUGUGUCUACUUUCCAGGGACACCAACCAUUUGAUCAUACCUAUCAUAUUGAGUGAGUUAUGGCCAUUUUCGUAAAGUAGGACGAAUCUGUCCGAGAAUCUGAUUUUGGCAAAACAGUCAACUUCGACGGGACUUUGUGAAUAGCUCCUGACGAACCAGAACGUGUGUAAUAUACGGUUGGAAAGCUCCAUGAGUCUAGUUUCCAAAACCGUUUACGGUUCAUUCAUAUAUAUAUCGUAGAGGAAGUUACGGCUAUUCUAGUAACUAAAGGUCAUGCUACGCGGAAAUCUAAUUUACUGCACGAACUUAUGUCUUGAGUUCACAAGCGGCCUUCUCCUCAAGAUCUAAGUGUAAAAGAUCAUUUGAUGACAAUACGGCAUGAUUUAGUUAAUCAUUGCCUAAUACCACAUUUGAAAACAUGUUAAAAAGCAUUGACAUGCUAAGUUGUUGAAACUUCCGUGAUUAGUAAAAAUUAGGAAGAACCCUAUGAUUGAUGUAAAGAUCAGGGGGAGGUGCGAACUUCAGGGGGAGUUUAGCACAUACAUUCAUGUCGCUAUAAAAUGUGAAGGGUGCGUUGUACUCUUUUUCUCCUACGAUCAAGGUUAAGCUUUUGUCCCAUAGGGUUUUUAUGACUUGACGAGGUUUUUGAUGAGGCAACAGAUAUUCUUUAUGUGUGCCUUGCCUUAUGUCAAUAGGAUAUGUAGUUUGACUAGAUCUAUGUAUUCAUAUCCUAACCAUAUUGGUAUUAUGUAAUUCCCUAUAUAAAGGGCUCCUAUCAAUGAAUAAGAUGAUGAUUCUCUUGCUAUCUCCUUGUCUCUACACUUUAUCCUAAACCUAAACCAUAAACCCUAAACCCUAAACCCUAAACCCUAAACCCUUAGAGCUAACUUAGGUGACGAAAAUACAUUUCGUCAUGUAAGUGAUGGGUUAGGUAACGAAAUAUAUUUUCGUCACCAAAGUUUUGAGCAUUUAGGUGACGAAAAUACAUUUCGUCAUGUAAGUGAUAGGUUAGGUGACAAAAUAUAUUUUUGUCACCAAAGUUUUGAGCACUUAGGUGACGAAAAUGCAUUUCGUCGCCUAACAACUUACUUUUGUGACGAAAAUAAAUUCGUCGUCUAACACCUUUGCUUAGGUGACGAAACAUAAAGUUGUGUGUCUUUUUGAACCAACUAUGGGGUAGAAGUAAAAUUUAGAAAACCCAUCAUACUAUAUGAUCAGUGUACUUAAAUACGGCUAUGAAAAAAAAUCCACCAGUUUUCGAAAACAUUAAGGUCUCGAUCCACGCGGUUAACAUUAAAUUAACGGCACUUAUUACACGAAAACGCUUUUACCUACUCCUAUACGACCUAGUUUGAUUGAUUCUUUCACACACAAAACUCUCACAUUGAUGAGAUGUAAUGACCCAUGUAAAAAUUUGGGGACGUUCACCUCUUGACGAUAGAGCUCCACAUAGAGAAACAUAAGCGUAUAUAGGGUUAACCGCUUGUAUCGGGGACCAAACGUUACCAGAAAUAUAUGAUUUUUCAACCAUAGUCGUAUUUCACCAUACCGAUGACAUCCUAUUUCAAAAGAUUUUUGAAAAUAUUGCUUUACAAAUAUCUACACUUGCAUGUAACCUACUAAACAAGUUAGACCACAUUAGUAGACAUGUUGUGGUUCCGAUGGCUAAAUUUUACAAAAUGAAAAUUCAACUGUCUGAUAUGAUCAGUGUACUUAAAUACGGCUAUGAAAAAAAAUCCAUCAGUUUUCGAAAAUGUUUAGGUCUCGAUCCACGCGGUCAACAUUAAAUUAACGCUACUUAUUUUACACGAAAACACUCUUACCUACCCCUAUAUGACCUAGUUUGAUUGAUUAUUUCACACACAAAACUCUCACAUUGAUGAGAUUAACCACUCAUGUAAAAAUUUGGGUACGUUCACCUCUCGAUGAUAGGGCUCCACAUAAGGGAACAUAAGCGUAUAUAAGGUUGACUGCUUGUAUCGGGGACUAAACGUUACCGGAAAUAUGUGAUUUUUCAACCGUAGUCGUAUUUCACUAUACCGAUGACAUCCUGUUUCACAAGAUUUUUGAAAAUAUUGCUUCAUUUUUUCUAACAAGAUCACAUUCUAUCAAAACCUUUUUCUUUUUAGGAAAUAAAUAAAUGUGUUGAAAUUAAAAUAAGACGACGAAAUAUAUUUAUUUCAUCAACUAAGUCCCAAAGUUUGAAAAUUUUUGGUUCACUGAGAUGACGAAAAUUUAUGUCUUCGUCACCUAACUACUUAAUAUUUGGCGGGUCGAAAAUUCCGUCAAUUUUUUAGGCCAAAUUUUGUAUUUGACUUAAGUGACGAAACGGCUUCAUUCGUGGGCUGAGUUUGUUUUUGUAAACCCAAAUACAGGGCAACAAGUCCCAUACUCCUAUUAACUCUGAAAUCCCUAAAUCGAUCGUAUCGAUUCCAACUUUCCAAGCCGUCUCCGCCCACAUCGCCGUCGCGUCCACAUUGUCGUCUCUUCCCUUGCUCCAUUGAUCCCAUUCGGCCUCUCCCGCGCUGAUCUCGUCUUAUUCAUCUCCUCAUGGCCAAUUUCUUUGUGAAUUUGGAUUGAUUAGUUCAACGAAGGAGGAGAAUCGAAGCCGAGUAGCUUUCGAAUUUGCAGAGAUUAUUCUAAGUUAAUCAGCAACGCCUUCCAAAACAUGAGGUGAGAGACCUCUAACCUCUUCUACUCGUUGAGUUUCAUAUCUAGGUGUAUUAAUUUUUAGAUUUUGAUCAUGUUCUGAACAAAUUGGUUUUUGGGUGUUAUCGGUUAUCGGCAGAGUUAUCGUCCUCGGCGGAGCUCCUAAGUUCUUCUUCCAUGUCUAGAAAGAGUAUUGGCAUCUUGUCAAGUUUGAUCAAUUGCUGAGAAGGUUGAAUUCGUGAGUUCGAGUAGUUUUUGCCACCACUGCGCCACCGUUUGUGGUGAAGGCCUAAGUUCCUUCUUCAGCUUGAUUUGCAUUAUGAAUUGUGUACUGAUGUUUAAUUAUGACUUAAAUCACAGAAGCUGUAUGUUUGAUGAUUUGGGUCAAGUUUCUGUUAAGGACUUUUGGGGUUGCUUCAUUAUGGAUGCAUGAACAGAGCAGGGGAUUGCUGUACAAUCUACAUCCAGAAUUAAUACUGAGUCUGGGGUAUCACUGUGUUCACCACUGAAUCUAAUUAAGGUGAAGGUGAGCUUCAAAUUUAUAAUCAUGCAUGAGCUACAAGUGUUUAAUAUAAUACUAUUAAGUAUUGAUUCGGGAAUUUGGAAAUGGAUUAUGUGAAUGGUAAUGGUUGAUUGAGUAACAUAGAAUGUCAUAUUGGGAAGGAAGAAUGUUUUAGAUUAAUCACAAGGGUGUGAUUGGUGAGACCAUGAGAGCUUGAAUAUAUUCAUGUUUGACAUUCUGUAUGAGUGGCUGGGCAUAGUUGUGCCUUUUUUAUUUGUUAAAUUGUUAUCAUUGGAGGAAUGGAGUUGAACUUCAGUAUUUAAAUUUGGUCUAUUGAAGAUGACAUACUAGUCAUCAAGAAUGAUACUGAAAUGGUAGUAAUGAUCUUCUUUGAGCUAUAUGACUAAGUUGGUAAGUUGCAACUUGGUAUUCAUGACUGGUCGGUAUGAACAUGUACCUAAAAGGUCUCAUGGAAUUUGAAUGAUAAUUAUAAAUUGGGAAUGUGGUAAUAGGGAAUUAAAAAUCAAAUUGGGAGUGUUAAGGACUUUCAAUAUGGUUAGUUUUCAUUAACUUGCAAAAACAUGGUUAAAAAUCAAUUUGAAUGCCUAAAAAGGAUUAUUAUUCUUCAAAAUUUGAGUAAAUUUUGGAUAUUGGUUUCUGGGUUUUGAGCUUUAGCAUUUAGGGUGAUGAGUAGGUUCAAUAUGAAACUAUUUUAACUCUGUGUAGGAGGCUUAUUGUAUACUGAGAGUUGAUGCGACUGACUUUAACUAUGUGAAAUUAGUAAAAAGAAUAAAGUUGAGUCCUUGGCAUCAGUAUUUUAACUCUAGAGCAUCUUAAAUUGAGUCCUUGGCAUCAGUUUAGCUGCUACUAACCCUCUUCUUACGAUAAUAUGAAUGAUUCUGUGUUAUGUAUAUGUACAUUGUACAAUCACCAAUUAACUAUGUAUGACUGACCAAGAAUGCCUCAGGAACUCACCCUAGCCUGCACUUUCCCAUCAACUCCAACCAUAUCCUUCCUUUUCGUACUGGGUCAUCACUUUUGUUCCUCUCCUUCUUCCAUGCCUAUAUUUUUUUCCUAACACAUACUGCUCAUUUCUUUGUUCUUUUCUCUUCCAAACCUGUAUAUUUUGUAUGGCUUCUCCCCUCUUAUUUCAUUUGUUUUGCACAGUAGCCAGUGUGUUUAGUUAGUACGAUUAAAACCGAUUAAUUAUUGUAUUGUUUUUGCAUUUUCAUUAUGUUUAGUUACAUGUGUCUUUGGCUAACUAAUACUAGUUGGUGUGUUGUUUUUCUUCUGUUGUGCUUCCCUAAUGAAUUGGUUCUUGCUUUGCAUACAGAUCAUGAUCAUGUCUUCAACAGUGUGAGCAGUUUCUCUUCACCAAAUUCGGCGUAUGCCAGCCAACAGUCCCACCCCAGGAGUAGCCUAAUGAUGAUGAUCAUGAUGAUGGAGGCAAUGAUUCAAUUAACAUUGCUUCAUAGUCACUUUCAUAGUUACUAGUUUAUUUUCUAAUAUAUAUUUUGUAUAUAUGAACAAGUCUAUAUUUUCAAGUACUACUCUUGAGUUUGUAUAUGAACUUGAUUAGGAAUAUAUAUAUAUAUAUUUGCUACUGCCCCAGGUGCUUUGGCCAAUAGUGGGUUUUUGAAAUAUUGAGUUCUUUUUUUUUUUAAUUUAUUUAUGUUAAUAUUAAAUGUGAUAUUAAUAAUUUUUAAUGAUUAAAUUUAUUAAAAAUAAAUAGCACUAAGGUGACGAAAGUUAAACUUUCGUGGCCUUAGCCGGAUGAAAGAAUUGUCAGCAAACUGACUGUUUUCGUAGUGUAGUGUUUUGGUAACGAUGAAUUUCAUCAACUUAGCUGGUCACACUACGUCACAAUAGAUCAUAGACCAUGAAUUAUAUUUCGUUUCUCAAGUACUAUGGCGACGAAAUACUUUUCGUCAGCUAACCAACUUGGUGACGAAAUAACUUUCGUCAGCUAACCAACCUGGUGACGAAAUUUUUUCGUCAUCUAAGUAACUUGGUGACGAAAAAGUUUUCGUCAUCUAAGUAAUGACUAAAAUGAUGAAAUACAUAUUUUCGUCACCUAAGUGCUCACACCACCGCCCUUAGGUGACGAAAUUUUCGUCGUUUUAGUGCUUACAUGACGACAGAAGCUCUUAGGUGACAAAAAUAUUUUGUCACCUAAGAACUUUUUUCUAGUAGUGGUUAAACACUCUUCCUUGACUAUCACUCAUUUAUGAUGUUCUUUUACGUAUUUCAAUAUAUUUAUAUCGUUAAUCGAAUAUCUCUCACCUCUCUUUUUCUUCUUUUCCAAAUCCAGAACCAAUCUUUGAUCUUCCGGUCUCUCUUCUCUGCACUUUUUCUCUAACAAUGUUGAGUUUCUCUUGGACCAUUAGUUCAUUACUGAAUUCAAUUAAUAUACAAUCCAAGUGGGGUUUUAGUAUCAACAUAACCCCUUCUAAAGCCAUAAUUAUUUUAUUUACUGUAGGGUUGUUCAUAUAUCAUUUCAAGGUAAGAUUUUUAACAAAAAAUAGUGACGAUUCUUAUAUGACCUAUAUUCAUUGUUGCUCAAUCAAAAUAAAAAAAAUUAGAUAGCAGAAACAACUCAAAAACCUUUAAAACAAUAACCAUGGACUGAGAAUGAAACCUUAGACCAUAAUUAGCACAAUUGAAUAUGAUUGGAACGUAUUCUAAACUAGUGUUGACGGUUGAGUAAGUUCUUGACUUUCUUGUGGUUGGAAGGUCAGUAAAUGUUUUCAUUUGUGAAGUGCAGAAGAAGGAUAAUGACGUGAGAAAAAGAUGAGAAAAACUGGAAUUGGUGAAGCAUCAUUUAAUAUAACAAGGAUAAUUGCGACUUUUCCUCAUUUUAAGUGGUUAUUUCUCAAAAAAAUUUAAAAUUAAGGUUAUAAAUCAAUUCGAGUGUUUAAAUAUGGUUGUUUUUCAAAAUUUCUCGCUCUAAUGCUAGUCCAAGUGGGAGAAUGUUAGAAUGGACUUAGCAUUUUGAGUCCUAAAGCAUGACAACUUCCAUAAUAUAUGCAGAGUAAAUAUUGUGGGAUUAAAAGCACAUUAUCAUGAUAUAUUUAUCUAAAUGAAAUGGUUAGAUAAGUAAUGAAAUACAAUCGAAUUAUCUUGUUAAACAAGAUAAUAGAGAUGGACUAAUAUUGUUGUUUUCUAAUGGAACUCAAACUCUUGGAUGGACAGAGUUGAGCUAUCCAACAUUAUCAUGAUAUAUUUAUCUAAAUGAAAUGAUUAGAUAAGUAAUGAAAUACAAUCGAAUUGUCUUGUUAAAUAAGAUAAUAGAGAUGGACUAAUAUUGUUGUUUUCUAAUGGAACUCAAACUCUUUGAUGGACAGAGUUGAGUUAUCCAAAGUGUAGUAUAUAAAGAGGUCCCUAUGCACACUCUAAACUACGUCAAUACGAGUCUCUCUCCAUCUGAGCAUGGUAACUGAGUGCUGCAUAGAGGAUCCCUUAUCCUUGGAGCUCUUGGUCUACAUCAACGACUACGGUAAACAUGUUGUAUAUCCUCAUCCUUGUUCUAUGACCUUGUAUGAGUUGUAUCUAUAUACGUGUUUAUGCUUAAGUGUUUUUCUCUUUGUGGUUGUAGUAUAACAGCCAAAUAUUUUGGGGUGCACUACUAGAAUAAAGGACUUAGGCGACGAAAACACAACGACAAAAACAUUUUCGUCGUCUAGGUAUGCAGUUAGGCGUCGAAAACUUCAUUCGUCACCUAAAAUAACUUAGGUGACGAACCAAAUAAUGAUUCGUCGCCUUAGAUUACCAAGGAGACAAAAAAAGGACUUAUACUAUUUUCGUCGCCUUAAUAGAUAUUCAGGCGACGAAGAUGAUUUCGCCGCCUAAAAUAUGAACCACUUAGGCGACGAACAUAUUAUUUCGCCGCAUAAGUUUAUCUUAGGCGAUGAAAGUGGUUACUUAUGCGACGAAAAAGUUUCGUCGCCUAAGUAAACUCACUUAAUCUCCAUUCAGUUUCUAGAUCUGAAACAGAUGGGAAAAAAGGGGAACUUGACAAGAUAGCCAUGUCUUGUUGUCAUUAUCUGAUUUUCUCAUUCUCAUUUAAAUAAUUUAGGAUAUAAUUUAUGUAGCCAAUUUUUAUCUUGAUAUAAUAUAACUACUGUUAUGUAUUUUUAUUUGAAACAUAUAUAUUUAUGUUUUUCCAAUGAUCACUUCAUUUAUGUUUUUAUUUGGUAUAACUUGUUUAAUAGGUUACAUGCAAGUGUAUAUUUUUGUGAACCAACUAUAUAUAAGAAGCAAUAUUUUCAAAAAUCUUGUGAAAUAGGAUGUGAUCGGUAUGAUGAAAUACGGUUAUGAUUGAAAAAUCAUAUAUUUCCAGUAACAUUUGGUCCCCGAUAGAAGCGGUCAACCCCAUUUACGCUUAUGCUUUUAUAUGAGGAGCCUUAUCGUCGUGAGGUGAACGUCCCUAAAUUUUUACAUAGGUGGUUAGAUCUCAUCAAUGUGAGAGUUUUGUGUGUGGAAGAAUCAACCAAACUAGGCCAUAUUGGGGUAUGUAAGAGCGUUUUCAUGUAAUAAGUGACGUUGGUUUAGGUUUGACUGUGUAGAUCGAGACCAAAAACCUUAUCCAAAACAUGUGAUAUUUUUUUCCAUAGCUGUAUUUAAGUAUACUAAUUAUAUCAUACGGUUGAAUUUUUAUUUUAUGAAAUUUAACUAUCGGAACCACAACGUGUCUAUUAAUGUAUUAUAACUUAUUUAGUAGGUUAUAUACAAGUGUACAUUUUUGUGAACCAACUAUAUAUAGGAAGCAAUAUUUUUUAAAAUCUUGUGAAAUAUGAUGUGAUCGGUAUGAUGAAAUACGGCUAUGAUUGAAAAAUCACAUAUUUUCUGGUAACGUUUGGUCCCCGAUAGAAGCGGUCAACCCCAUUUACGCUUAUGCUUCUAUAUAGGGAGCCUAAUCAUCGGGAGGUGAACGUCCUUAAAUUUUUACAUAGGUGGUUAGAUCUCAUCAAUGUGAGAGUUUUGUGUGUGGAAGAAUCAACCAAACUAGGCCAUAUAGGAGUAUGUAAGAGAGUUUUCCUGUAAUAAGUGGCGUUGGUUUAGGUUUGACCGUGUGGAUCGAGACCAAAACCUUAUCGAAAACAGAUGAAUUUUGUUCCAUAGCUGUAUUUAAGUAUAUUGAUCAUAUCGUACGGUUGAAUUUUUAUUUGUGAAAUUUAACCAUCGGAACCACAACGUGUCUACUAAUGUAAUAUAACUUGUUUAGUAGGUUAUAUGCAAGUGUAAAUCUUUGUGAACCAACUAUAUAUAAGAAGCAAUAUUUUCAAAAAUCAUGUGAAAUAGGAUGUGAUCGGUAUGAUGAAACACGGCUAUGGUUGAAAAAUCACAUAUUUCGGGUAACGUUUGGUCCCCAAUAGAAACGGUCAACCCCAUUUAUGCUUAUGUUUCCCUAUGGGGAGUCUUAUCGUUGAGAGGUGAACGUCCCUAAAUUUUUACUUUGGUGAUUAGAUCUCAUCAAUGUGAGAGUUUUGUGUGUGGAAGGAUCAAUCAAAUUAGGCCAUAUAGGGACAUGUAAGAGCCUUUUUGUGUGUUGUAGAGUAGCUCUGACGACGAAACUGAUAAUUUAGUCGCCUUAGUAACUAAAUUUGGGCGGGUAGAUAAAAAAUUUGGUCUACUUUAGCGGUGAAAUAUUUCACCUUCGUCGCUUAAGUCUCUAAAUUCGGCGGCAGCAUUUUGCGCUCAAAAUUUGGCCUAAAAUUUGGACCCAUUUUUCAAAACUAGUUUGGGCUGGCAGGGGACAAAAUUUUCGUCUGAUGGUCGCCUAGUGUAGAUUACUAAACCAAAAACUCACCCAAAAUCCCGUAGUGUCGACAGACGCCUCCCAAUUUUCUUCCUCUGCUAUCGAACCCUGCAAACCCUCCCAAUUCCUAAUCGAUCUCCACCCAAUCCCUAAUCAAUCUCCACCCUCAUCUCUCCUCCCAUCUGCGCCUCUCUCUCAUCUCUCCUCCGUAUUCAAUCUCCACCCUCAAACUCUCUCGAGUCUCCCCUCAUCUGCGCCUCUCUCUCAUCCCACCACAAACCUAAACCGAUCCAUAAGAAGGUGAGGGUUUAUGGUUUUUUUUUCAGUUGCUUUUUGGGUUUCAAACUCAAAAUUCCCAAGAAGUAGCUUUGGGUUUGUAAAUACUUCGGUGGAUUUUGGGUUUCUGAAAUUGGAUUUUGGAUUUUGUAGGUUGAGGCUGAGGAGCAGCUUGACAUUUUCGUGGCUUUUUUGGUUUCUGCUGUUCCCUUCUUUGCAAUGAGAUUAAGGUAUAAAAGAGAGGAAUCAGUACCAGCUUUCCUAGGAUUUUAGUUUCAGGGUUUAUUUUCUUGUUUUAUUGUUUAUGGCUUUUUGUGUUCACUGUAUUUGCCUCUGACCCCAUUUGAUCUUAUUGUACUUUGAGGUUAAAUCUAAUCUGUUGAAUCAUUGUGUUCUGCAAAAUUGGGUUUUCUAUAGUUGUGAUUCUGAUCUGGUGGGAUUUGUUAACAUGGUUAUUGUCCUUUUCCCUCAAGCCACUGUCUUUGAUCUAAACUCCCCUGGUUUUGUUGUUGAGGAGAAUCUUAAAGACAUGUAGCUGGAUCUCAAAUUUGGCGAGUACUGAGAAUGGCGAUAAAAAUUUAUUACUGCAGAUUAUGCAUUCCAUCUCAUAAACAAAAUUACUACAUGUUUCACUGAUGUUAGGUUCUUUGUUUCUUCUAGGAUUGGAUAGUUAUCUACGUGUUUGGAAUGUAAAGACGCGGGAACUACUCUCUGCGGUAUGUGUUUGGCUUUUAUUGUUUUUAUGUGACAAAAUUCCCCGAGUGAAAGUAACAGUUGUUGCUAUCUGUUGAAUAAAACUCUUGACAAUGUCUGAUCCGGUUGGAUUUUAUUAUUUCCUAAUUCUUAUAAUGGAAUCAUGUAUGUGAAUCUGUAAUUGUGAGUAUGAGAUUUUCAUUGGUAGACUCCAAUUUGUAAAUAUUGUCAAGAGACUUAUAAUAAAGUGGCUAGACCUAACUUAAAGCUCAAGAAUUCUUAGACAUGAACUGGCUGUUUGGGCACCCUUAGGACUUCGUGUAUAUAGUUAUGCUCUCCUGCAUACAAACAUUGUGAUAUAUAAUUAUCUAUCUAGUAUAAUCAUAGCUCAAGCUGUAAUUGAUUUUGAAAUGUGGUCAGGUGAGUAAUGAUUGAUGUGCACUGCCGCUUUUGGAAUUGUUUAAGGUUAAUUCUCUAGCUUUUUGUCUAAGCUGGUUUUUAGGAUUUAAAUUUGAAUCUAGUGCAUCGGCUCCAUAUCUAUUUCUCUGUUAUCCCUUUUAUGGUUACUGUAGUGUGUGUAUCUACUUGAUGGAACAUUCUGGUAUUUUAUUCAAGAGAUGAGGUUUUCAAAUUUCUUGAAUGACUAUAGAUCCUGAUCUGGGCACAUUCAAAGAUUUGUUAGACUAGUCUUUUCAGCUCAAAGCACUCUUUCUUAGUACCUCUCUGUUUUGAUGUGUUACAAACAAAUUUGGGGUUUUCUUGGACAUGCUUUAGAUUUGAUGUAUUUCCAGUUAAAUGUGUGCAGAUACACAUUUUCGCGGCCAAUAUAAUUUGUUAAGCUUUCUUGUUUAUUUUCCUAGUUCUUUACACUUGCCUCUUUCUUGUGCUUAUUUUCUUCAGGACUCUUGGCCAAUGUAAAUUUAGAAGAACGACCAAAACCAAGCAGCCUCAAGAAAACAGUACUCAUAAGCAAAAAUGCACUGCCCAAAUGGGAAAUCAAUGGAUUUGUGGAGUACAUCUCCGGCGGGCCUCAACCAGGCAGCAUGUAAUUUGCCGUACGUGUUCUUUUCUGUGUUUGCUUAUUCAUUUACUUCAUUUAUAUGACACUUACUGUACUGUACUGGACACUUGCUUUCAGUUAUUGUCGUUGUGUGUUGCUUUGUGUUUAUAUGUUGUUGUGUGUUGCAACAUCUAAGUGUUGUUGUGAAUUGAUGAAAUCCCAUAUGUUAUAGCUAAGUAUUGGUGUGUGUUGAUGUGUUGAAAUAAAGGGGCUUAGGAGAGUUGAAAUUGUGGGCAAGGAAUGAGCAACAAGGCCUUCUUGUCGCAAUGAUAUAGUUCUUGAGGAGAUUUGGGAGCAUGCCCGACAAGCCCAAGAGGAGGCACGACAUGCUUAGGAGGAGGCACAAAAAGCCCGGGAGCAGGCCAGAGUAGCCCAGGAGAAGAUCCUUGAUUAUGAGCGCCGUAUACAGAUGUUGAAGAAGUGUGCAGUCGCAGCCGAGCCGACAAGAAGGCCAACAGUCUAAGGUUGAUGGUUGAAGCUAGGUCCAUAGCUUUUUGCUUUUAUGGAACCCUUGAUAUUUGCUUCUUUUGUUAAACAUUGUCUAUAUAGGAUUGUAAGAGGCUAGGAUAUUAGGGAGGGUUUAAACUAUGAACUUUGAACUUGCUCUUUUGUUUGUGUAUAUAAUACCUCCUGGAAGUUUACUAGUUUUUCAGUUUGAACUUCUUUUGUUAUGAUUUUGAUUUGCAUCACAGGUUUUUAACUUUGAAUGUGAAUUUGAAAAUAUGCACAUAUAAUUACUGUGUGCAUAUCAGUAAUACUUAGAUUUUUUUAAUAAUAUAUAAUUAUAAUUUAAAAACAUAUAUAUAAAAUGUUCAAUUAAGUCUUAUGCGGCGAAAAAUGAGGAACCGUCGCCGGGGUUGGAUCCUCGCCUUAAACAUGGCGACGAUUAAUAAAUGGUCGCGUAAAAGGAAACUAAGGCGACUAUAAUUUCCCUUCGUCACCAAGUGUAGGCGACAAUAAUUUCGACGCCUAAAUAUGUCUGUUUUCCUCACCUUAGACUUAUGCGGCGAUAAAUAAAUAGUCGUCUAAGUAUCUAUUUAGGCGACCAUUAUUUUUUAUUCGUCGUCUAAGUUCUUACGGGUCCAUGCUAAGGCGAGGACUGUUAGGCGACGAAGCUUUCGUCGUGUGAGAACUUAGGCGACGAAAAUGGGCAUUUAGGCGACGAAAACUGUUUGUCGCUUAAGUCUUUUAUUCUAGUAGUGGUGGUGAAAUAUCUUCUCGAGCUUCUUGUUUUUCUUUCCGUAUAGGAAAUUAAUAUUAAUUCUUGUAUAUAUUAAUUCGAUCUUGAUUUGCAUGGCAAUGCCACUAUAUUAGCAGUAAGAUUAUUGGUCACUUAAGAUUAUUGGUCACUUUAGAAUCGACUAAAUUGGUUUUACUCAUAUAUAUCGUAACUUUCCCAUCAAUGAAAUUAAUCAAUUGCAAUUUGUUUACUUAAAAAAUUGUCAACAUUCGGGUGUUGGUGACUACUGCUAUAAAAGUGUUGUACUCGACGACAGCGACAAAUGAUGCUUUUUAGAUGACCGUGGCUGGUUGUUCGACGACAUAGUUGAUAGGAUUUCGAUCAUCACAUGGUAGUUCAUGUAUAGGUUUGGCUUUUGGGUUCCAAUUACUUGGAUUCAUUGUUUCGUUUGCUUCCAUAAUAGUAAGGGAUGCUGGAAAUUUAGGUAUCAAAGAACUAAGACAGACAUAACUCCUUAUAUAUUAAAUAUACAGUCGGGAUCAGAGGUAGACGUCCGCACACUCUUAAAGUGAGGACGUGCCUCCGUUCUCCACCGUACGGCUCCGACGACGCAGCGCCUCCACCCCAGCUGUCUCUAGCAGCGUCCCCGAUCACUUUUCCUCCCCGGCGAGUCCGCUGAAUUCCAGUUUAAAGGCGAGAUCGAUUUUGUUGGAAGUUUUGGGUGAUCUCGCCGGAAAACUGGAAUUCGGCUGACUCGCCGAGGAGGAAAAGUGAUCAGGGACGCUGCUGGAAGCCGCUGGGGUGGAGGCACGCCUUCGUCGGAGCCAUACGGAGGAGAACGGAGGGACGUCCGCACUUUAAGGGCUGUGCAGACGUCUUCUUUAGAUCCUCUCUGAUUAAAUAUAUAUAUAUACAUGUCCGUUCUGGUGCGGACGUUCGCACUCGGCUUAAAGUGCGGACGUCCGCACUCGAACGUUUCUGUGUGUGUAUAUAUAUAUAUAUUAUCUCAAUGAAGUUGCCUAAGCCUAACUAAUUUUCUAACAACAAUUCAUCAAUCAUGCACCAGAGUCCAGUGGGACUAGAUUUUCGGUGAGGAAACGGUGUGAUAUUGAUGAAAAAAAUCUCUAUAGCUUCACCUCAAUCAACAUGCGUGACACUCGUUCAUUUCAAGAACCUGGAGAUCAUAUAUAUGUCCUAAUAACAAGUUACCUUGUUGACUUAAUCGGAAUAGAACCUUUCCAACAUACAUUUUCUUCAUUACCUUAGCAAGGGAAUGUUAAGGACUAUGAUCUUAUGAGGGUCACUUAAAUAUUAUUUGAAACUUUUUUUUUUUUUUAAAUACUGACAAGGAUUAGGCGAAAUCAGCUCCUCUGUAGCAGUCUGGUGGGUGACAAAGCACCCACUCUACCCCAAAGGAGACUGCUACAACCGGGAAGCCACCACCCGUCCCUUAUCAGAAAUUUUAUUUAAAAUAAUAAAAAAAUUACAUGAAAAGAGGAAUGGGGGACUAGGCCAAAACCAUUCCAAUUACAAACCAAAACAACAUACAAAAAGACAUUGUUUCUACCCAUAAAAAACCAGGCAAUCUUCCCACUAUGAAAACCGAUAAUUAGGGAUACCCAAAUAAUCCGCUUGCAAGAAACCAUGAAGCUCAGUAGGAGGAUUAUCAUACCAAGUAAAUGAAGCAUUUGACAACCCCAAGUUUGCCAUCUUGUCAGCUACCAUAUAUUUCCUUCUCUAAAAAUAUGACUGCAACGGAAGUUCAUUUGACGAAUUAUAGAAAGAUAGUUAUUCCAACGAACUCUUAAGUUCCACGGAGGAGAAAAAGACCUGGAAGAGAAGCAAGCUACCACACUAACAAAGUCACUUUCCAACCAUAAGUAGACCCACCCUUUAUCAUGAGCAAUUUCAAUUGCCAAGAUAACAGCAUAAAGUUCAGAAUAAAAGGAACACUACCAGAAGAAAAACUUUAGCCGACGAAAAUAAAAAAACCAGGCCGACGAAUUAUUUUUUCGUCGGCUAAUUAAAAAUUUUCGUCGGCUAUAGUCAACUUUAGCCGACGAAAUUUUUAAAAGUUUAGCAGACGAAAAAUAUAAUUUCGUCGGCUAAAGUGCCUUAUAUUUGCAGAUCUGGACAACAACUCAUCUGGGAAAAAAAAACUAUAUGUAGAACCUUCAAACGCAAAAAAGUCGUGAAAUAAGAUAUGACCAGAAUGGUGAAAUACGUCUACAGUUGAAAAAACACAGUAUUCUGGUAAAGUCUCGGUGCCGAUAGUUGCGGUCAAUGCAAUUAACCCUUAUUAUUCACUAUGCUGCAGAUUUGGUUUUUGGUGUCCGAUUGACUAUUGUGAUACCUUUUCGGAAGCGUAACGGCUCUACGAGUCAAACUCAUCGCUAUUGCCAUGAAGUAUGAGCCUUUUUGGCCAUCCGAGUCCGUUUAGGGCUUCAAAAUGCAGUUUUCUUAUUUCCGAUUAGAGUUGACCGUUUCGAUCGAGCCCUUAACGUUGUCGAAUCCAGUUGAAUUUUUAACCAUAGACAUCUUUCGUCAUAAUGAUCAUAUCUGACAGUCGAAUUUUGGUUUGUAAAUUUUAGUCAUCGGAAUCACAACGUGUCUACUAUUUACUGUUAUUAUUCCCCAUAGGGAGCCCUAUCGUUGAAAGGUAAAUAUCUCAAAAUUUUUAUAUGGGCAGUUGUGUCUCAUCUACGUGAGAGUUUUUUGUGCGGAAGGUUUGACCAAACUACGUAACAUAGAGGGAGAUAUGAGCGUUUUCGUGUGAUAAGUGACGAUGGAUUAGGGUUGACAGUUUUGAUCGAGCCCUUAACGUUGUCGGAUUCAGUUGAAUUUUUUAUCAUAGACAUCUUUCGUCAUAAUGAUCAUAUCUAACGGUCGAAUUUUGGUUUGUGAAUUUUAGUCAUCGGAAUCACAACGUGUCUACUAAUGUUGUAUAAUUUAUUUAGUAGGUUAUACAACUUUGUGAACCAACUCUACAUAGGAAGCAAAAUUAUCAAAAAUCUCGUGAAAUAAGAUGUGUUCAGAAUGGUGAAAUACGGCUAUGGUUCAAAAAUCACGUAAAUCGGGUAAAGUCUCGAAGCCGAUAGUAGCGGUCAACCCUAUUUAGCGUUAUUAUUCCCUAUGGGGAGCCCUAUCGUCGAAAGGUAAAUGUCUCAAAAUUUUUAUAUAGGCGGUUGCGUCUCAUCUACGUGAAUACGUGAAAGUUUUUCGUGUGGAAGGUUUAACCAAACUACGUAAUAUAGAGGGAGAUAUGAGCGUUUUCGUGAAUUUAUAGACUUUAGCCGACGAGAUAUUAAAAAAGUCAUCGGCUAAGGUCAAAAAUUUUUGGGCUGUAAACCAAUUUGGAGGAAAAUUUUCAAAGGACUUUAGCCGACGAAAAUAUAUGAAAAGUCGUCGGCUAAAGUCGAAAAAAUUUCAAAAUUUUCAACCAAAAUUUUUUGGCGGUCAACCAAAAUUUUUCAAAAUUUUCAAAAGAGUUUAGCCGACGAAAAUAAAGAAUUUCGUUGGCUAAAGUUCUUUAUAUAGGAGUUUUACCGAAGGUGGAUGGUAAGAAGUCUAUUUCGCCUGCCAGAUUUUCUUCUCGGCCUAGCUCUGCCGUCAAGCCACCGAAGACCGCCACACUUGUCCCAAAAGUUUCGUCGUCGUCGUCUCUACUUCAUUGCUGGACAGGUGGUGCAUCGAGUGGCGCCGCCGUGAGGGAUAAAUCGAGCUCCAAAACUCCGCCGGUUCGGAUUCGGUGUCGAUCGAAUUUCUCCUUCCUCAGGUCACCAUUUGGUGAGUUCUAUAUAUGGAUAAGUUGAGUUUGAUUAGUACUACAUUCCCCUAGAAUUUGGUAGCUCGAUUCGGUGUGUGUGAGGAGAAUCGAAGAUUUGAAGUUUUUAGGGUUUAAAAUUGGGGAUUUUUAUAUUUUGAUUCAAUUGACCUGUUUAGGCUUAGAAUUGGGCUUCGACUUCUUCUAGAAAGUUGUUCUAAAUGUUGAGAGGAAGAUUCUGUCAAAUUUUGGUGGUGAUUGAAGGUGGCCGAAAAUUUCUGUAGUUUUUUUUUCAAAAACCAGCAACUUUAGCCGACGAUAUUUAAAUACUAUAUUCGUCGGCUAUAGUAUUUUUAAUUUUUUUUUAUAAGGUUUAGCCGACGAAAUAUGGUAUGUUUCGUCGGCUAUAGUUAAUUUUUAAAAUUUUUUAUAAGGUUUAGUCGACGAAAUAGACUAUAUUUCGUUGGCUAUAGUUAUUUUUUAAUUUUUUUUAUAAGGUUUAGCCGACGAAUAUCUUAAUUGUUUCGUCGGCUAAAGUUUGGGAAAAAACCCGACGACAUGUUUUUCGUCGGCUAAACUGUGGGACUAUAGCCGACGAAAUUUUUUUUUCGUCGGCUAAAGUCAUCGCCGACGACCUUUUCCCGACGAAAUCUUAGCCGUCGAAUUAAAUUAACAGGCCGACGAAAUUUUUUCGUCGGCUAAAGUGCUUGUCCUGGUAGUGUUUCCUACAUACAUUUUCUUCAUUACCUUAGCAAGGGAAUGUUAAUUAAGGACUAUGAUCUUAUGAGGGUCAUUAAUUACCUUACAUUUUCUCAGUUAUUUGAAACAUAUAUCUAUUGUUUGGAGACAAAUUUAAGUAGCAUGUGGUUUGUACGUAAGCGUAUGAUCUCUUACUAAGUCUUUUUGUUCGUGUAGUAUUGUGACGUACGUAAUGACAUCAACCAACGUGUAACACAAAGUGAUCGAGAGUAGAUAUCGAUCGAGAUCUAGAAAAAUAAUCGAUGAAACUUGUCUUGUUCAGUUCACUGCUUAACGAAAAGCAAAACCCUAAUUGUCUAUUUUAAGUACAAGUUUGAACAUGAAAUUAAUAGUUUGAGAUAUGAUCUUGAAGGGUGGAACUACUUUUGUCAUCUGGAUUCUUCUUUUAAGCAGUAUAUAUUCUUGUAGUAAAACCCAAAUUAAGUCAUAUGAAUAAGAACUAUUGUCUACACUCGUAGAAGCUCAUUCAUAAUUGUGCAUAUUUCUCCCAAACAGUCCUUAUUCACAUUAAUUUCUGUCUCCUCACAAAUAAUAUACAAGUAACAAGAGGAAUAAAAAUCCAGUAGCAAUGGAGGGAUUGGAGGGCAUCGAUCCAGACCACAAAUCAUUGGCCGGGAAAAAAAAAGCUAGGGUUUUCCAUCCCACGCAAAACACAUUGAGGAAUGUAAUGCCAAACCCCGUAAGGUUGCAGCAUCUUUUUCCCCAGUAAAGACUAAAACAUGCCAGCUACUAGUAAAGGCUCAAUAUGUGAGACUGGGAAUAUGGAAAUCAAUCAGAUGAUCGCUAUUGAGAAUCUGAGAUGAUCGAUUAUGAAAUGGUUGCACGGUUCCCAAACAACUGGAACAUUUUCUUUGUAGUUUAGCCUUUACUGAAUAGACGUACUGGACCAGUUUGCACUUGGUUUUCUAGUUAGCUAGUAGUUGAAGACAAUAGUUCAUAAAACCAGUCAUUGUUUUGCUCCUGCAGAAAUGGCACUACAUGCAUGUGAAUAUCUUUGGAAUCUUUUUAUCGAUCAUUACUACCUCCAGCAUAUAUAUAACAAAGGCAAGGGUUUCGUUAUUCGUAGUGUACACUAAUAGAAAUUUCCCCAUUGGGGACUGAUAGGAUUAAGUCCCUAUUGUGGACAAUGCACACUGAUAUAUAAGAGCGUAAAAUGCUAUUAGCACCCCUACAACCACUCUUAAGGGAUCAGUUCCCUCUAUAGCAGGUGCUAUUGGAGCAUUAGACACUGAUGAAACAUCAGUGUAAAGUUAUAUGAAAAGUUAAAAGUCUACUGGUGUCAUUGCUGCCGACGACUUUAAUUACCAGAAGAGUGCGAAUGAAGAACUGAGAUUCAGUAACAAGGAAUUUAGGAACUCAUCGAAAAGAAAAAGGAAUUUAGGAACUUGUCCUUACCACCAUCAUGAACUGAUAUUAGUUAGACAAGAAGGGAAGAUAUAUAGAGUGACAUGUGCUAAGCAAGACCUAACAUUUCGAUUCUACAAUCUAAUAAACCAGAAAGUUCGGCUGCACCAGCACCGCACCAGCACCACAAUUUAUAUCCAAAUGUUAAUGAACACUAGUCUCAACAUCGAUCUGCAAAGUGUGCCGAGUUUUUUGUCAAUUAAAACAACCAAAUGGUGUAGAAGUAGCUAAAUUUUACAUUAGGUAAAGAUUGUAAGAACAAAAUACAUUAUUGUCCCACGUUCUUCAUUUGGUUUCCUUUUCGUACGUAGUAGAACUUUUGAAGCUUGUCAUCUAUCUUUGAAGGAGUGGUGGAGCUAGCAGUAGAAGACUGGUUACACAGUAGGCUGGUACUUGUUUUUAUAUAUAGAUUCUUGCACAUUAUAACACAGUAGACCCUUUGCUGUUUCUCACCGUACGUUAGUCCAUCAUACAUUUGAUUAAGCACAUCUAGCAGAAUUUACUCAAUUUUGUUUUCAUGCAAUGCUAGAAUAAUAGAGUGAACUAGCGAGAAUAAAAUGGAAAGAAUUAUUUAUUAUAAAAUAAUUGAGUAGCCUCCUGCUACUGUGAGAUAGCUAAACUACAUAUUAUCUAUACCUCUUCAUCCAACAUUUAUAACAGAAUUAUUCUAUGCAAGGUGCCAUUUCGGGUUACCCCAAUCUCUAGUUCUUCGUCUUUUUCUAGCUCAACGUCGAGCUGCAUGCUGAGAUAAGUACACCCUGUGGCUUCUGUCGCGCGAUCGAGAAGAAGAAGAAGUAAUCUGUCGAGCGAGAAAUGGGAAAAACCUCUGGUUUCGAAAAGGAAGGAAAGAAGAAAGGAAAAUGGUCUGGUACCAGAUUCUCAAGGACUACGUCAAGAACCACGGUACAGGCAAAUGGGGCAAAAUAGCAAAGGAGAUUGGCAAGUUCAUAAUUUCCUUCAUAUAUACCUACUUUCGACAUACAUCGUUGUGCUUAAUCAAUAAUGUAAUCGCCGUUGUUUCUGAAAUUUUCAAUUAAUUCAAUUAAUUACCGACGGCCCUGUGUAGCUUACGCGGAAUUCGCAUGCAUGUAUUGGAAGCCAAAAUUACAAAUUUACGCCAGUAGCGAAUGGAUUAAUUGGUAAAUUGGUUGCUCAAUUAAUCAUUGGUUAAUUAACUGCGUGUGCAGGUCUGGGGAGAUGUGGGAAGAGUGUGAGACUGAGAUGGUUGAAUUAUCUAAGGCCCGAUAUCAAGCAUGGCAACAUUAGGGAAGAUGAAGAAGAUCUAAUUAUCAGGAUGCACAAGCUUGUAGGCAAAAGGUACUAAUAUAAUAAAUUUCUUCCUCUUAUCAUGAAAGUCCCGCAGAUCUAAUUUUAAAUUUAAGCUUAGUAUUCGUAAUUACUUACGAACAUUUGCAUAUUUGAUCAAUAUUUGGUUUCAUUUUUUUUUUUUUAAUUUUUUUAGAAUUCAAAGAAAAAAUACUUGCCUCAUUUCAGAGCUUAAUACAAAGUAGACUUGUGCAGGUGGUCAUUGAUAGCAGGAAGAAUUCCGGGUCGAACUGACAAUGAAAUAAAGAACUACUGGAUCUCCACUCUAAGUAAGAAGCUGGCAGAAGAAAAAAGAAAGAAACCAGAAGUGCCGAGAAACGAGAUUGCCAAGGAGAGCUUGCCAUCCCCCAUUGAGGUCGACGAUGGUCAUCCACAUCCGACCAUAUGCAAUGAAGUUCCUGGAGGAGGAGGAGGAUUGAUGUGUUUUGCCAGUAAUGUUAAUGUAGAAGAAGAUCAUCAGCAUCAGAGUUCUGAUACCGAUAACAGUACUACAAUGAGUGCCAGAGUGGGAGUCCGAAUCAGAGGCGUGGCAAACAAUGUUCAACCAACCGGGGACGAUCUCAGUGAUGACGCUAUGCCCUGGAACGAUUGGAUAAUGGAUCUGAACGAAGGGCAACUCGACCUAUCUGAAUUUCUCCAAACUGAUUUUUCGAACUUUUGGGAAGAAUCAGAUAUGUUCAUGAACUUUGAAGUCGGAGGUUGCAGCACCAUUAACCAUGAGUGGCCGAAUAAUUAGGGUGGUUAAAUAUCUUCCCGAGCUUCUUGUUUUUCUUUCCGUAUCGGAAAUAUUGAUUCUUGCAUAUAUUCAUUCUUGAUUUGCAUGGCAAUGCGGCCACUAUAUUAGUAAUAAGAUUAUUGAUCACUUUAGAAUCAACUAAUUAAAAGUUUUACUCAUAUAUAUUGUAAUUUUCCUAUCAAUGAGAUUAAUCAAUUGCAAUUUGUUUACUUCAAACAGUGUCAACAUUCGGGUGCUGGUGACUCUACUGCUAUGGUGCUUUUCAGAUGACCGUGGCUGGUUGUUCGACAUAGUUGAUAGGGUUUUUGGGUUUACUUGGAUUCAUUGUUUCGUAUGCUUCCAUAAUAGUAAGGGAUGCUGGAAAUUUAGGUAUCAAUCAAAGAACUAAGACAGACAUAACUCCUUAUGAAUUAUUUCAAUAUAAUGUUGCCUACCUAAUUUUCUAACUUCACCAAUCAUGCACCAGAAUCCAGUACUGGCCGGGUCAAGAUUUUCAGUGGGGAAAACGGUGUGAUGUUGAUNNNNNNNNNNNNNNNNNNNNGUUAGAAAGGGAUGAUUCUAUCUUUGGCUAAAAACCAAAAGGGAUUGAGAAUUGGUGGUUUACGAAUCUGGGUAGUUAUUAAUUCUUGAAGAUUUGUAAUUCUGGGACAAGUUCAAAUUGAGGGCCCUUCUUGAGCUGAUACGGCAGCCUUGAAUUUUCAGAGGAAGACGAACUGAACCUGUUUUUUUUUUCUUUUUUCUUUUUUUUUUGUGUGGCUGAAAACUCUGUUUUAAUCUCAGCCCUCCAACAAUGUUAAAACAAAUCAGACGGCUAUGACCCUAUCCCUUGAAAAGACCCAAAAAAAAAGGAUCCCUCAUUAAGGUAUAUGUAUGUAUGUAUGUAUGUAUAUCCCUAAUAAUAAGAAGCUACCUUGUUGAAUUGAUUGGAACAGAUCACCUUUCCUCACAUUUUCUUCAUUACCUUAGCAAGGGAAUGUUAAGGACUAUGAUCUUAUGAGGGUCACGUAAUUAUUAUUUGAAAUUAUUUAAUCUUCUUCUAAUUCAUCAAAUUUAUGUAUGCUCAAUAAUGUGCUCAAAACAAAAACAAAAACAAAAACUAGAAUUUGUCAAAGACAGAAAGCUAGCGAUGUGAAACCACAUGUCAUCCACAUAUAUCUAUUGUUUGGAGACAAAUUUAAGUAGUGUGGUUUGUACGUACGUAAGCGAUGUUACGUAAGCGAUAGACAAAUUUGAUCUAUUCUUUUUGUUUGUGUAGUGAUGUUACGUACGUAAUGACAUCAACCAACAUGUAACACAAAGUGAUAUAUCGAUCGAGAGCUAGAAAAAUAACUGAUGAAACUUUGUCAUGUUCUCUUCAUUGCUUAACUAAAACCAAAACCCUAAUUGUCUUUUUUACGUAGAAUUUUGAACAUGAAAUUAAUGGUUUGAGAUAUGAUCUUGAAGGGUGCAUGGAACCACUUUUGUCAUCCGCAUUCUUCUUUUAAGUAGUAUUAAUCUUGUAGUAAAACCCAAAUUAAGUCAUAUGAAUAAGCUCGUAGAAGUUCAUUCAUAAUUGUGCAUAUUUCUGAAAAUGACUGCAUAAAUUAAUGCAACUUUUGAAGUUUUCUCCCAAACAGUCCCCAUUCACAUUAAUUUCUGUACGUCUCCUCACAAAUAAUAUACAAGUAAACAGAUAGCGUGAGGAAUAAAAAUCCAAUAGCAAUGGAGGAGGGGAUUGGAGGGCAUCGAUCCAGACCACAACUCAAUGGCCUGAAAAAAACGAAGGAAAAAUGGGUUUUCCAUCCCAUGCAAAACACAUUGAGGCCAACACGCGUAAGGUUGCAGCAUCUUUUUCCCCAGGAAAAGACUAAAACAUGCCAGCUACUAGUAAAGGCUCAACAUGUGAAUGUGUGAAUAUGGAAACCAAUCAGAUGAUCGAUAUCGAGAAUCUGAGAUAAUGAAAUGGUUGCAUGGUUCCCAAACAACUGGAGCAUUUGCUUGUUCUUUAGCACAUACUGAAUAGUGAUAGGGGCUUAACCCUACCAAUGGAAUCGAGAAAGGGAGGAGCUAAAACUAACAGAAAAUGGAAAGGAAAUUGCAAUUUUUGAUAUUCGAUGGCUGCCUGAAACCCUAGAACAGCCUUAAAUAGGUACAAAAGAGAGAUGAGAUCUUGACACCUGUCAAGCAUCUAUCGGAUCAAAACAGUAAACCUAGCUUAACUAAUUAACCAAACUGACCAACUGAUUACAAUCAAAACAACAUCAAUUAGCUUCAAUUGACUACUUGUGGACUCCUACUCGGCCCAACUCAAGCAACAACCAUAUCUACGGCCCACUAGGAAACCAGCAGCAGAGACUUGCAACAUUCCAUCCCGGUUCCACCACAAACUUGUCCACAAGUUUGAACUGCUCAAAAUUUAAAGUCUGGAUAACGCUGCAUAAUAUCCUUAGCGAAUUCCCAAGUAGCCUCUUCUCUAGCCGUCCCCAUCCAAUGAACAAGCCACUAAGUUGCUGCUGCCCCCUUGUGUUUGAUCAUCCUUGUUAUUAAAACAGCCUCAGGGACCCAUUUAAGAGUAGACGAAUCCCUGACAUCUGGAAGGGUAGCCUCAGCUGUGACAGCAUGCCCAAUUCUCUUUUUGAGGAGGGAAACGUGAAAGAGGUUAUGGAUUUUUGCUGUAGCUAGAAGUGCCAACUUGUAUGCCACUGCUCCGAUCUUCUCCAGUACCUGAAAAGGACCAUAGUACUUUGAUGCCAACUUAUGAAACGCACUGGUGCUGACUGAAGUCUGUUUAUAAGGCUGGAGUUUCACAUAGACCCAGUCCCCAACUUCGAAUGAUCUCUCUGUGCGAUGCUUAUCAUAGUAUGCCUUCAUCCGGUUCUGAGCUUGAUGGAGAUUUCGUUUGAUCAACGCUAAGAGCUCGUCUCUACUUUGGAGUUGUGCAUCCACGUCUGCCACAGCAGUAGAACCAGGUGUGUACGGUUUAAUGGCAGAGGGAGCAUAGCCAAACAAAGCUUCGAAAGGUGUCAUUUUCAGAGCUGAGUGGUAGGCACUGUUAUACCACCAUUCAGCCCAAGGGAGGGCAGCUACCCAUUCAUGAGGUUUGUUUCCAGCAACACAGCGUAGAUACUGCUCCAAUGUCCGAUUGAGGUUCUCGGUUUGACCGUCCGUUUGGGGGUGAUAUGCUGUUGACUUGUUCAAAGUAGUACCUUGCAGUCUGAAAAACUCCUCCCAAAAUAAGCUCAUGAAAAUGGGGUCACGAUCUGAGAUAAUAGCAUCUGGCAUACCAUGUAAACGGAAUACUUCUGUAACAAAGAUCCCUGCAAGCGCCACUGCAGUGUAUGGAUGAGAAAGAGGUAUAAAAUGAGCCACUUUGCUAAACUUGUCCACCACAACCCAGAUGACAGUUUUUCCUUGUGAUUUUGGCAAAGCCUCGAUGAAAUCCAUUGAAAUAACGCUCCAUGCUCUCUCAGGGACUGGAAUUGGUCGCAGCAGCCUCGGAGGUCUAAUAGACUCAUAGUGGUUUUGCUGACAUAUAUCACAAUUAGCUACAAAUAGCUUCACAUCCCUUUGUAGUCCUGACCACGCAAAAUUUUUUCUCACCCUCAUGUAAGUGCGAGUCCUACCAGCAUGCCCUCCCACCAAACCACAAUGGAACUCUUGGAUCACCUUCUGCCUCCAAUUGUCAAUAUUUGGUACAAACACUCUUCCUUUAUACAUCAACUGAGAAUUAUGCAGUGAGAAGUGUUUCUUGCUGUGGGGUGAUUCUUGGAGAGUUCGAAUCAACUCCACCAAGGUAGCAUCAGUAAGACAUGCCUUCUGUAUCUCACUCACAAACUCAUGAGUUGGUAUAGACACUCCCAUAAUAGCAUUAAGAGCUGCAGAUCGAGACAAGGCAUCUGGUGCAGCGUUGUUUUUUCCCGUUUGUAGUGGAUGGAGUAGUCAUACCCGAGGAGUUUCAGCAACCUUUUUUGUUGAGAGGGUGUGGUUACUCGCUGGUUGAGGAAAUGCUCAAUAGUCUUGUGGUCGGUGUAAAUGGUGAAAUGAUGGCCUAGAAGGUAUGGUCGCCAAUGCUCAACAGCAGUCACUACAGCCAACAUCUCUUUGUCAUAAACCGAAAGAGAGAGGUGUCUUUGGGAGAGAGCCUUACUCAUAAAGGCAAUAGGAUGCCCUUCUUGACACAACACUGCCCCAACUCCCACAUCCGAAGCAUCACACUCGAUAGUAAAGGGUUUUGAGAAAUCAGAAAAAGCUAGUACAAGAGUUGAAGUGAGAGCUGCUUUUAAUUCCUCGAAGGCCCUCGUUGCUCCCUCAUCCCACUUAAAUCCAUCUUUCUUAAGUAGACUGGUGAGAGGCUUUGCAAUCAGACCAAAACCCUUAACAUAUUUGCGGUAGUAACCGGCAAGACCAAGGAAACCACACAGCUGCUUGAGAGUCUUGGGUGUUGGCCAAUUCUUCACACAUUCUAUCUUUGAGGGAUCAACAGACACACCUUUGCCACUAAUAACAUGCCCCAGGUACUCUACUUGGGAGACACCAAAACUGCACUUGCUUUCUUUAACAACCGAAGAAUGCUGUUGUAAAAUUUGAAACACCAUUUUCAAAUGUUGUAAAUGGGCUGAGAGGGAAAGACUAAAGAUGAGGAUGUCAUCUAAGAAUACCAGAACACAUCUCCGCAAGAGUGCUCAUAAGACAUCAUUCAUCAAGGACUGAAAUGUUGAGGGGGCGUUGGUGAGGCCGAAAGGCAUCACCAAAAAUUCGUAGUGACCGGUAUGAGUCCGGAAGGCAGUUUUAGGAAUAUCAGUCUCAGCCAUCCGAAUUUGGUGAUAACCUGCCCUCAAGUCCAACUUUGUGUAUAUCGUUGAACCAUGAACUUCAUCGAUCAACUCAUCCACCACAGGGAUAGGGUACUUGUCUUUAACUGUGGCAGCAUUUAGAGCUCUAUAGUCGAUACAAAGUCUCCAUGAACCAUCCUUCUUUUUUACCAGCAACACAGGAGAAGAGUAGGGGCUUGUGCUCGGCCUGAUCACACCAUUGGCUAGCAUUUCUUGCACUAUCUUCUCUAUUUAUGUUUUCUGGAAACGAUAAGGUCUCACGCUAAUGGGGGGGAGUGUUGGGCACUAGCUCAAUCUUAUGAUCUUGUGCUCUAGAGGGAGGGAGGCUGCGGUGGGGGGGGGGGGGGGGGGGGGGUGCGCAAAAACAUUUGCAUAUUUGGCCAACAAAGACUUGAUGGUAGGAUGGACUUCUGGAUUUUUCCGUUCAGCAGCCAAAGAGUGUACUUGAACAAGGACUGCAUCUUUCUCUUUCCUCAAUAACUUCGUCAUAGUUUUACAACUUACAACCAAAGCUUCUGGUGUUGUCACUACAAAAAAGAAUUCAUUUAGCCACCGAAAAUCGCCACGGCUCGGAUUUGCCGUGGCCAUUGAUCCUAAAUUUGCGACGGCGAAGCGACGGUAAACAUACCGUCGCUAAAUAAAAACCAGUUUGCGACGGCAACAUCUUGCCGUGGCUAAAUAAUGCAAAAUUCGCGACAGCAAACUAGCGCCGUCGCAUAUGUUUUUAUCAACGGCGACGACAGGUGAGUGCCGUGGCAAAAAAACCAAUUUUAUUUCUGAUUUGCUGCUACGGUUGCUUUCGUCGUCGCCUGUGUUCUUUCACUGUUAAUGGAAGGCGCCAAUUAUCCCGCUUUCCAUUUUGACAAAAAACAUCAAUUUUACAUAACCCUCAUUUUUACUCUCUCUUCAGACAAAACCCCCAUCCCACAAACCUAAUUCCUGUCUUCUAGAAAUCGCCGGUCCUAACCCCAUAACCCCUAUUUUGUCAAAUAUGUUGAAUGAAAAUUGGGGUUGGUCGUGAGAAACACAAAUCAUCGACUGUGGAAGGAGAGCUUGUCGACGGUGGUUGUGGUCAUCGGGAGGAGAGGUUUUCGGUUUUCAUCUGACCGGUGGCGGUACAAGACUGUAUUGAAUUGGCGGCGGCGGGUUUGCACUGGUGGCGGGUUUGCGCUGGCAGUGGCUUCUUCGGUCAAGUCGUGUCGAAUCUCUAGAGGUCGACGGCGGCGGCUUCUUCGGUCAACCCUAAUCGCCCAUCUUUUCCCUGCUCUUCCCUGCUCGAGCUCGCAGAAGGUACUCUCUUCCCUGCUCGAGCUCGCGCAUCUCUUCCAUGCUCUUCCCUGCUCGAGCUCGCAGAAGGUACUCUUUUCCCUGCUCGAGCUCGCAGAAGGUACUCUCUUCCCUGCUCGAGCUCGCCCAUCUCUUCCAUGCUCUUCCCUGCUCGAGCUCGCCCAUCUCUUCACUGAUUUUUUCGAUGCGUUUUGUGGUUUUGUGAAUUGGGUUUGAGUUGGUUUUGUUUUGGAUUUUUUGAUAGGUUCCAGAGGGGUCUGAAGCGCAAGCCCAUUUAAUGAUCAAGAAGCUUCGCAAAGCGGUGAGUUUUACUGUUAUUGGUUUGAUUGGUUAUGGUGAAUGAAAUAUGUUGUUGUGAUAGAUUGGUCACAUUAUCGUUCAAGUAUUGAAAUUUUUGACUCAUUGAGCAGUUUGUUUGGAGCUUACCAUUCUAUUCGCAAGUUUAUAUUAGAAUUUGUUCAUUGAGCAAUAUAUAUGUACCGACGAUAUAGGAAACUUUUGAAGUUUUGGAGUUGUCAUUGAUUGACUGUAUUAUAUUUAUACCCUCUAAGAUUAGUCUGUUGAUGGUAGGAAGAUAAGGUGCGUGUAAGACAGUUUAUGCCUUCUUUAGUUUCCUCAGAGUUGAGGAAGCUAGCUAAUUGCCUAUCCUCAGAAUGUUAUUUAAUUCCUGGCAACACUACUGUUGUACAACAUAUUCCAAUUGUUUGUUUAGUUGAAUGAUAUGUUCUGUGGUGGCAUUCAUUGUUGUUGGUAUUGAAACCCCUAUGUGUAUUGGUUAAUGACUUUGUAGAGGAACGGUUUGUGUUUUUGUUUAUCCUCAGUUAAAGAGAAAUUGAGCAGUAGAAUGUGUGAGAAACUUGACUGUAACAAAAUCAACAGAACUAGAGAAUACUUCGGAAGUCCGAAUUACCCUAUACUCUUAAACUCUCACCAAAUGCCACUAAGAAACCAAAUAGGUCACAUGAAGCCGAGGCCCCGUUUUCAUAGUUUCACUCUUCAUUACAUGAUCAAGUACUUUUUCAUAGUCUUUUUAUUUCAUAGUAUAUGUGGGACAAGUAAAAAUGGGAGUUCAUAACUGAAUGUGGUUGAAGUUUUGUUUUCAUUUUCACGCUUUUCUAUUUGUAGUUUUGUUCAUUCCGUCUUUUCUCUCUUUCCUCAAUUUAGUCUCUGUUAUUACUCUCAAUUUAGUCUCUGAAAACUGAGUCAGUAAAUUAAGUGGUCCACUAACAAUCUCCCAGACCUUCUCAUACUAGUUGUUCUUGAGAACUGGUGAUAUAUUGUUCUUGAGAACUAGUGAUAUGAUUUUUUUUUUUCGUUUUUGUUAAUUAGCUUGGGCUGUUAUACACCAGAUGGGUUGAAUGAAUAUUUAAUGAGAUUUGCUGCUGAGUUUGAUUAUUAAUGUCGAGUGAUUUGUGUCUUUAGGUGUUGUAGUAACAGAAUUUAGUUUGACAAUUUGAAACAUGAACACUGCCAGUAAUUCAUUGUUCUGAACUUGUCACUUCAGUGUGGUGAUAUUACAAUUUGUCCACCUUUUCUAUUAUGGAUAGGAACUCUGUUUUAUAUGAUUGAGAAGUUUUAUGAUACAUUUACAUUGAUACUCCCACCAAAGAUUCUCUUGACACACGACUGAUUGCCAAAUCUAUGUUUGAAAGACCUUUAUAUAUAUGUGUAUUUUAUGCAAUGGCAUUACUUAAGUAGAUUAUCAUUAAUUUCAGUUAGAGUUGUAGGCUUACAGGGAGAGGAACUGUUGAAUUUACCAUUGAAAAAGGUGACAGUUCAACAUUUGCUCCAGAAGCUGGUGGUGAACCAAGAAAGACAGCCAGUAUUCAGGUAUAAUGAAUACUAUCUAUCUAUCUAUCUCUCUCUCUCUCUCUCUCUCUCUCUCUCUCUCUCACACAAAAAUUUGAUAUUUCCAAAUGUAAAAUGUAUGCAUGGCACCCAAAUUUACUUUGAAAAUAUUUAAUGUCCAAAACUGAUCAGUAACUUGUGUACAGGUUGUUAUAGAUAGUUAUUCAGCACCAUUAACAGCGGGUAAUUUCGCAAAACUGGUUAGGUAGUUGAACACUAGAACCUCACAUUGGCUUCAUGCAAUUAUCUACAUUUGUGAAUAGAUGUGCUUAUCAGUGCUUUACACCUCUAAAUUUUCAUCCUCACUGGUUCAUCCAUAUGCUAUAAGGAUAACUGGGUAUUCUGUGAAAAAAUUAUGUUAAAGUUUGAAGUCUUUUUGAGUAUCUGAUAUCUUUUUAUAGUGCUUACUUUUGUCAAUUUGGUCAGUGUUGUAAUGUUAGUUACUAUUGGUUUGAGGUUGAGGUAGACUGGAAUAAUUACUGUAUUUUUUUUUACUGCGGCAGGGGAGUGUGGAGUGGGGGAGCACAAGAGUAAAGUUGCAGGGAAGAUGCAUGGAUGUGGACAUGAUGGUCAUGUUGCCAUGCUUCUUGGAGCUGCUAGUUUACUUCAAGAGUAUCGCCACAAAUUACAGGUCUCUUUCCUGGUUUGAAUUCUAUGCAUUGUGUUUAGAAGAGUGGUUUCAUUGUAAAGUUGGGUUUUUAGGUUUGUUAUUCCAUGUGUUGCAUCAGUUCUUGUUCUUAUGGACUUCUGUUACUUUAUAUAGCAAUUGUAGGUUUGAAAGUAGUUGUCUUUAAACAAAACAUCAAGGCUAAAAUGUAAAUAUUUAAAACUAUAUAUGGUCAGAUUUGGAAAGUUCCAGCGUAUGAGCGUGGAGGUGAGGUUAGGGAGAUUAUUAGGCCUUGGGGUUGUCUACAAUGGGCUCCUGGUCUAGCUGUCUAUUAGAAUUAUAUGUCAACUUGUUAUGUCAUCUAUCUGACUGCGAACAACCUUUAACUAAUAAAAAAGACAAAGAGCGAUAGAAAAUGACCUUUCAUACUGAAAUUUGCAGAGUUUUGGAGUCCAUAUUGGAACUACAUUUUGAUGUGGCCAGCUAUAAAAGUUGAUACACUAGCUUAAUCUAUAGAUUGCAAAGUGUGUGCAUUCUCUAAGUAGGCUUCUUGANNNNNNNNNNNNNNNNNNNNGAAUGGCUGCGAGUGGAUUUUUUGAAGCCUUGAUAAGUGGGAAGGGGGGUCGUGCUGCAAUUCCACAGCACACAAUAGAUCCUAUCUUGGCUGCUUCCAAUGUUAUUGUUAGUCUGCAGCAUCUUGUUUCACGUAAAGCUGACCCCUUAGAUUCACAGGUUUGCUCGCUUUCUCUCUAUUCUCAUAAUAAGGUCAUUGUCAAGUCUAUGUUCCCCUCCUAUUGCAGCUUGAUUAUUCAAAUACAUGUAUCUGUAAGUUCACAUGUGUUAGCGUUAGUCUACAACAUCUUUCACUCAGCACAUAGUAUGUGAAAUAUUAAUCCCCUUAGUUUCUUCAUGUGUGUGGGGAAAUGGUACUAUACAGAACAAACAUGAUAAGUAUUGGAAAUUGCCCUUUUUUUUUAUUAUGAAUAUUUUUGAAGUAUGGUUUAGUAUGAAUUAGGGUGAAAGUGCUUGAUUUACUUGAAUCUAGAUAUGGUUUUAAGCAUUAGGGUCAAUGCUUGAGCAUGCAAUAGGUUUUUGUUUUCACCUUUCACUUCAAAUCAGACAACUAAUUGUAGAAAAUGGUCUCAUUUAUGCAAUAGGUACCAGCUGAUGCAACAAGUGGCCAUAAGGCUAGGAGGGAGUCCAUAUGAGAGGGAGAUCCUGAGGCCACUACCCAUUUUGAUUCAACUUCUGAUGAUGUCACUGGUCACCAUGAUCCUCCUGCAUGAUUUAGGUUUAUGUCAUAUUGUUGUGUUUUAGAAUGUGUUAGAACAAAAUUAUGUUGGAAUAUUAUUGUCCCUUUAUGAAGCUCUUUUUAUUGUUGUAGCAGUUUGUUGGUUUGGUUUAGGUUCCAUCAUGUGGAAUAAUGUUUAUGUUAGAUAAUUUGGUUAUGAAAUGAAUUUUGGUCAUUGUGUUGUAUUUUGUUGGAAUGAAUGAUAGUUGAUGGUGGUGUUAGUACCUUGUUGAUUAUGGUUGUUGCUAUUGUGGAUUGAAUGAGAUUUGAAUUUGCAGCUUUCUGGUAAAAAUGAGAUUUGAAACAGUUGUGGUAACAAUUUCUGCAGUUGGCGACGGCAGAGUCCCGUCGCAAAUGGUUUUGGUGGGAAAAUUCAAAAAUUUUAGUUCAGAUCUGAAAUUUUUAAAAUAUCACAGUGACGGCGAUUGCCGUCGCCAAUAUUGGUAUUUGUGACGGCAAGUUCAGUAGCCAAUUUCCGUCGCUAAUUAAGCGACGGUCUUUACAGUCGCUAUUUGCCGUCGCAAACAUGGUUGUGACGGCUCACUGCCGUCGCCAAAAGCAACGGCCACACCCUCAACGGCGACGGGAAAAAUGCCGUCGCCACGCCGUCGCCGUUGGUCUUUUGCGACGGCAGAAUGACUUUUGGCGACGGCAUUUUGCCGUGGCUAACUGAAUUAAUUUUUGUAGUGUGUUAGUCCCUGCAAACAGAAUGUAUGCCCUCCAAUCUGAAACUUCAUCAUCAUAGUCUCAAAAUUCCACAAUAUAUCCCCAAGAGUUUUGAGCCAACUUGCCCCCAUUACAACCCAUUACAACUUCACAACCUGAUAUAGGUAGAACAUAGAAGGAAGUGGUUAGGGUUAAACCUUGCAAUGUAAUUUCAACCUUUACCUGCCCCUUAGUGUACAUAAUCGAUCGCUUCACUAGCAAGCCGGACUCUUAGAGGACUAAUUUUUUGGACCUCAUGCUUCGAUGCCUUGAGCGCUGCAGGGUGCACAAAGUUGUGUGAUGCCCCCGAAUCAAUUAGGACAUGCACUGCCUUGUUCAGAAUUUUCCCUUUGAGUUGCAUGGUUGAAGUGGCACUACCAUCUCCCAUAGCUCUGAGCUCCACCUCAUCAUUAUCUUCCACAUUAUCCAAUUGGUCCAAAUCAUCAAUGAUAGGAGGAGGUAACACGUUAGGAGGGAGUUGUGGAACUUCAUCUUGUAAUACCUCAAUAACCAUGAUGGCCUGUCCUCGCCGACAAUUGUGUCCCGGUCGGAAGAGCUCAUCACAGAAAAAACAUUGGUUCCGGGAUCUACGCUCCUGGUAUUCAGCUUGUGUGAGUCACCUAUUUCCUCCAAUAUUCCUUGCAGCCCCUGGAUUGGCUAAAGCAGGCAUAUUCUGAGCUCUCAGUUGUGGCGGAGGAGGGCCUUGAGCACGCGGGGGAGCUACUGGAGGCAUAAGAGCUUGUCGCCUUGGUAACCCUGUGACUCUUUGAAAUCUCUGCUAGGUAUCCCCUCCCUCAAACAGUUUUGCCAAUUCACACGCUAUAUAGAGUGUGGAAGGUCUAUGUGCCUUGACACCCGUUCUGAUGUAGGGCUUCAAACCCUCAAUAAAAAAUGACAGCAGUGCCUGUGGUGUGAACCCCUGGUGCACGCCUUGACAGCUUAGUAAACUGAUCCAUAUACAUAUCCACAGACCCUACUUGAGAAAUGCGAGCAAGAGCAGCCUGGUAUUCACCGAAAUUAUGCACACUGAACUCACGCAUUAGUAACUCGGCUAAACCACUCCAAGAGUUUGGAAAUUCAUGUUUGAACAUGAACCAGUGAUCAGCAGCUUUAUCCACUAAAUGCAAGGCUGCUAUAGCUACCUUCUUCUCGUCUGGCACUUGAUAGAACUCAAAAAAUUGUUCGGCCUUGUGCAACCAUUCAACAGGAUCUCCACCCCCAAAGGUCGUGAAAUCUAACUUCAUUUGUCUCAUGGAGGGAAGACUGGGAUCAUGGCUUGAGAAAUUUGGGUUACCUUGGUGGAAACUUUGUUGUUGAUUAUGUGUGUGAGAGGGACUACCAUUGCCAUGGUGUUGGGAAUGGGGGUUUUGAAUGGUUGUGGUAGUGGUAGCAUAGGUAGGGUGAGAUUGAGAAUGGCUUUUUAUGUUUGGAGACUGGUGCAUUUGGGAAUGGGGUGUGUUGCUGGUUGUGGGGAAGGGGGGUGGGCCAAAAGUUGCAGCAGUGUUGUAAACAUCAUGUGAGUAAUGACGUGAAUGGGAUCUGUUGUGUAGAAGCACACAUGGGUUGGGACACCAAAGGAGCACCAAGGUGUUGUUGUGCCUCAUUAUGCAAACCCCUACCAUGGUGGUUAAAAGAGUGAGCUCCUCCAUCAGUGUGUUGAAAAAAUUGAGUCAGGGGUUGCUUUCCAUUGUUUUGACCACUCGAUUCUCCUCUAGCAUGAUUAGACAAACUCAGAGGGUCACCAACAGUAAGUUGCAUCAAGGGUUGGGAAGAGGACUCAAGAGCUGUGUCACACUCACUCAUGAAACCAAGAAGCACAUCAUUAUCUCCAAGGUUCAAAGGAUGGCGUGCCUUGGAUACACUGCCUGCAGAGUUGAGCAGAGACAUAGCUGUUGAGAUGCCAUCAGUCGACGACGGAGUGGUCCCUCUUUCAACUAACGUCGGAGACCCAGAGGUUAAUGGAAGCGACCCAAAGCGCAGCAUCGGAUUCGCCUAUAAUGAUUGUACUUCAUAGUUGUAUCAGUGGCUGCCUCUAGCUCAGCGGUCUUCCAGUUUUAUCUGUUAGGUUCUAGUUGCAUGCAAUGUUUCUUGUUGUAAUGUUUUGGUUUACUAGUCGAAAAAAAGAAGAAGGAAGAAACAAAAAAGGGUAAGCUGACUCAGUACCAUUUGAUCUAAUGACAUAGUCUCCUCUUAAUAAGUGGGAGGUUGUGAGUUUGACUCACGAAGUUGUAUUAUGUGAUAAAAAAAAAGGGUAAGCACUUGUGUAAUUCUAAUUAGAUGGGGUGGUUAAUUAGUUUAGUUGAAACUUGAAAACCAAUGCUUUUACUAAAUCUUUCUACUUAAUCAUAUGCGUACUGCGAGCGUGUAUCAUGUAUGUGAUGUAUAUAUGUCAUCUAUGACAGUUUGUUUUUGGUUCUUGUAGUAUGUAACAUCAAACAACGUGCAAUACAAGAGUAGACAACAAAAAUAAUUGAUGAAACUUGUCUUGUUCACUUGAGUGCUUGAAAAUCGAUCAAAACCCUAACCUUGUCUUUUCCGUCGACGGCGAGAUAAGUGGUUUCUAUUAGAAAGCUGUUUAUAUCAGCAGAAGACAAACUCGUUCAGACCAGAUAAGAUUCUGUGAUCCCCAUUUGGGAAGGUGUAGGGCAUGUACUUGAAAAUUACACCAUAUGCAGUAGUGCCCGGGCCUUCUUCUACAGUUCUACGUACGUAUUUUCAUUUCAGAAUUCACAUGAUGCAUACAUGGGAUAUGGGAGUCAGAGAAAUUAUCCUUUUACCUACGUACUCGAUCUGUUGGCUUGCAUGCCUCUCCAGAAUUUAAUAGCAAAAUUGUGAGCUCUUAUUAACAACUUACUGAGAGUGAAAGAGAGGGAAAGAACAAGAUGAGUAUGAUUUUGCAGGAAGUGUUCCACAUUUUAUAUUCUUUCCUUUGAAGAAUGUAAUCGAUUCUUCCUUUUGAUUCUGGGUUGUUGGAGAAAUUUUAGUCAUCAUCAUCACCAUGUACGUUCUUCUCCUAAGUCUUAAGUACACUCUUGUAAGUUGUAAUUAUAGCUAGAUGGGGUGCGGGGUUUAUUAGUUAACUUGAGGCAAAUGUUUGUACUAAAUCUUCGUAGAUACGUAUGUCGUUGCUGACACAAAACAACAUGCAUGCCACACAGAGUGAGAUCAUGAAGAGACGUCCGAUUCCAACAAAAUGAUAUAGGAGCGAAACUUUUCUUGUUCACUUCAUUGCUCAAAAAUCAAAAUCCUAGCCAUAUAUAUUCGGUCGACUGCGAUGUAAGCGGUUAGUGUUAUAUAUAAAGCUCUUAUAUCAAAUUAUCUUUGAAGCAGGAGAUCGACAUGCAAAGCCAUUCAGACCAAAGAUUAGUGAUAAAGUUAUCAUGGAUUCCCAAGUAUCACAUCAGCAAAUGUAUCAUAGAUCAAUCUAAGAAUGAAAAUUAACAUGAUAUUAACAUGCACGUUAAUAUAUGACCUAAAGUGGAACCACAUUUUUCUUUGAUUAUUCUUGCAUGUAAGACCCGAGAUAUGAAGGAUGAGAACUUUUCUUAACAUUCAUUAAAACUAAAUCACAAUGCAUUCUGAACAUGAUUGCACAAAUAUAACUUAUUGAUGUUUUGUUCCUAAAAACUAUAGGCAUUCACAUUUACUUUUACGAACGGAAAACGCUAUCACGCAUAACUAAAACUCCAAGAGGAACGAAUUUUCUUUCUUAAGCCAUGAAAUCAUUCCGUCUCAUAAAUGCUUUUUUCCAGUAGGCGAUAUGGAUCCAGACCACCGGAAAAUAAAAGGCGGUGGAUUAUUCACACUGAAAAGAAAAAGAAAAGGAAAGAAGAGGUUUUCACAUCCACGCGAAACAUAUGGAGGGAACAGGGAAGUAGUGCCAAACUAUAUGGAUAACGCUGCGUGAAGUCGCUUGUCCAUCUUGUACGUUACACUGUUUUUUUUUCUCCCAGUAAAGGCUAGAACAUGCAUAUAUGUGCCUGUAUAGAACCGAAAGAGCAAAGGCUGAACAUGCAUGUGAAUCCAAGAUAUUGAAGAUCAUGGAGCAUUCGCUUGGAGUUUUGUAAGUUAUUGAAGAUACGCACUGGACCAGUUUCCAGUAUUAUUGUAUAUCUUUAGCAAAGUUGAAGACAAUACUUAAAAUCACUCGUUGUUUUCACACCUGCAGAAAUCCCAGUACAAAACCCAAAGAAUCAGUAGUAACUGUAAGAUAGCUCUAGCAAUUGUAUAACAUAACAAGUCACAAGAUAUAUAUAAAAGAGAGCUUGCUAAUUAACUAACAAAAAAAAUAAAAAUUAGAACCUAUGUGCUAGAUUAGUUUCAUUUUCUUUUUUAAAAUAACGGUCUCAAGAUGAAUAGUUGAUUCAUAUUAUUCAUACUGGGCUCCGAAUGAUAGAAAUUAAGAUUUAUUGAAUUCAAAGAGCAUAAACAUAAAGAAAACACAAAAAGUGCUUUGGACUACAACACUAGUUUGUGAUACUCUCAUUAUUUGAAAUCAAACUCUUCUAUCAUGAAAAACAAGCCGGCCUGUUGUAAAUGUGAGAUUUACCCCUUUUUUGAAGCUUCUCUCUCAGUUUGAAAAAAAAGCAUCUUCAAGAGGAGGGAAUGAGGGAUAUACUUCCAUUAGGUUCACGUGUGUAUUUCUGUGGCAAUGUGAACCCUACACGUGGCAUGAUCUUGUAGAAACGGAGCCGAUUCUGAUAUCUAAAUAGCUAUAAAUAGGGCGCAUUGCAAGAGCAAAAACACCAACAGCAAACAGAAGCCAUAAGCCAUAAGUUACAUAUCCUUGUUCGAUCUCUGCCUUUUAGCCACUAUCAUCAUGCUUGGCCUAGUAAACAAGGUGGCCUCAGUAAUCCACCACCCUCAUAGCCCGUUUGCCAAGUCUGACAAGAAGAUCUUGGAUGAUAUUUACACUACUCAUGUCCAUGCUGAUGAUUCAUUCGACGACGAUUCUCUUUUCAUCAUUGUUGAGAGUAUCCUCAAGCGUGCAACCCAAACUGUCGAUAAAAUUGUGCAGGUACAAAUCACACAUAACAUGUAACACGAUUACAUAUGCCUUGGUCGAUUUUUGCAUACGUACAAUAUAUAUUUACGCAAGAAUGACCAAGCUAGGAUGUUCUUAAUUUGCCUAAGAGAAGCUGUCUUUUUCUGUUGUUGGUAGUGACUAGCUGCAUGCUACAUUCUUGUGGUUGUUGCAGGGUACCCAAGUGCAUGUGGAAGACAUAGAGGAGCAAACUCCCAAAGCCAACUUCAGUGUACCAUUGUGCACGCUUAAGGGAAUCUCCUGCGAGGUCCAUCCGUCCAUAUAUAUACGAUACCAGCAAAAAUUAAAAAAAUUCCAAAUUAAUUGUUGUUAAUUGCUCGUUGAUUACAUUUUCCAUAUAUAUAUUGAAUAUUUCUCUAAUUUCAGAUGCAAUGCAAGCCUCCUGGUGAAGAAAUCGCCCAUGAGACAACACUGGCAAUACUACACAAGCUGUCAAAGUAUUCAUGGGAAGCAAAGGCAUCACUGACCCUAGCAGCUUUUGCUAUGGAGUUUGGUGAAUUCUGGCUCCUUGCAGAGCUUCGUGAAUCAAACCACCUUGCCAGGUCAAUUGCAAUUCUCAAACGACUCCCUGUUCUCCUCAAGCCUUCUCAGCUGCACAAGCGCAGGCAAGCAAUACUUGAGCUUAACAAUCUGAUCAAGGCCACACUGGAAGUCAUUACAUGCAUCGACCAGUUCAACAAGAUUUCCAUUUAUGACCUGAAAGAUGUCCCCGAGUUGUCGGGAACAUUGGAUCAUGUUCCGGUGGACGUAUAUUGGGCUAUCAUGACUGUUGUGGCUUGUGCCACUAAGAUCACACUACUCACUAGUGAUGAGUAAGUUCCUCGAUCUCCAUCGUUUUAAAGAAUUAGCUAAUUACUAUACUCACUGUUGUGGUGUAAGCAUUGUUCCUGGAGAUUGAAUUUGUGUACCGAUUUACGAUAUUUACCCUAUUUAAUUUGCCAUGCACAUAUUGUUUCAGGGACAAAGAAUUUGACCUAUCUCCCUAUUCUCAAAAGAUCCACUUUGUCCUUAACAAGCUCAAGACACAGCUAACAAUUUGCAGAGCACGAAUUGGUGGGUUAAUUAAUUGCAUAUUUUUUAUUAAUUGAGGUUUACAUUAGUUCUAUAUGUGUACUCAUUGAAACGAAAUUUGAAGCAAUUUUAUUGUUGUCUAAUGCAGAGUUCAUAGAAAAUUAUAAAAAGCUCAAGAAACUGUUCCGAACACCUACUGAAAUUAUGGAAAUCUUUAAGGGUUUGUUAUUUACAAAGGAUAAUGUCCAGCCACUCGUUGAUUGUUCCACUAAACAAACGGUUUGUGAAUCAUCUAUAGUUCAUUUCUCUACAAAUUGUAACAACAAUAGUGAAACUUAAUCGUGCCUAACUCUUUAACAGGUGAGCAUCGAAAUCCUAAGGAGGAAGAAUGUGCUAUUCUUCAUUUCCAGCCUCGACAUUACGGAUGACGACAUUUCGAUUCUGAAACCGGUCCACGAGUUCACAAAGAAAGACAAUCAGUAUAAGAUUGUGUGGAUACCGAUUGUGGAGCAAUGGACCGAUGAGCUGAGAAAGAAAUUUGAAAUCCUGAAGAACAAGAUGCCGUGGUAUACGGUGCAGUACUCUGGACCUAUUGCAGGCAUCAAGUUCAUCAAGGAGGAGUGGAACUUCAAGGGUAAGCCAUUACUGGUAGUGAUGAACCCACAAGGAAAGGUCGAACACACUAACGCUCUUCACAUGAUUCGGGUGUGGGGAGUCAAGGCCUUCCCUUUCACAGAGACGAUAGAGAAAGAGCUGUCAUCAGAUUCUCAUGGAGGAAUUCACUCUAUAGUUGUUGACGGAAUUCACCCUUCUGUGCCAUCUUACGUAAUUCACCUCAACCGAUCAAAGCGCAUAUAUAAAUUCACGAGUUAUUAUUUAUAGUAUUGCCUAUAUAUAUAUUACUUUUGACAGUGCAUUACUACAUCAAUACAUACAUUACAUAAUAAUGAACUAGGAGAGUAGGGUCAUCUCCAUUAUUGACAUAUUUUCACUACAUUCACCUGAAACGAUGAGAAACUUAUUCAAUUUGUUAUCCUCAAACAGAUCAGAGAUAAUAAGUACAUCUUCUUCUAUGGCGGUAAGGACAACGAAUGGAUUCAGCAAUUCACAAAGAAAGCAACUGCCCUUGCAAACGAUCCUAUCUUGAAGGAAGCAAAGAUUUACAUAGAGUUGGUUUGCGUUGGAAAAGGCAGCGAAGGAGAAGAUGACCAUGGCAUUCUAGGCCGCUUCUGGACCGGUAUAGAAAGUUUGUUCCUCACCAAAGUCCACAAGCACGUUGAUCCGAUCGGUCAAGAAAUUCAGAAGCUUGUCUCUUACAAGAACGAAAGUGGAUGGGUGUUGCUUACCAAAGGAUCAACUUUGUUGGUCACAGGUCAUGGUAUCUCCGCAUUGAAGGUGGUAGAAGACUUUGAGAAAUGGAGGGAGCAUGUCAAGGAGAAAGGGUUUGAGUUUUGUUUCAAGGCCUAUUAUGGGAAGGUUAUUCAGGCUGGUCGACCUUGUUGCCGUCUUGACAUUCCGGGGUCUACCGGAAAGGUUCCGGAGUCGAUGAAGUGCCCUGAUUGUCACCGUAGUAUGGAGACUUUUAUCAGUUACAAGUGCUGCCACAUUGAUGGUCCAACUGCACAUCAUUGAGUCCUGGAUGAAUUGGUGUUUACGAUCAGUCCUUCAGUACGUUAUGAUGGACACUGUUAUGUUAUCUUUUACUUCUGCUUGUAUGAAUAAGAUGGGCAUGGCCGAUGCAUUGUGAUGCUAGGUAUAACCCAGACUUACGAUUUGAAUUUUCCAGCUAUAACUAUAUGGCUACAUGUACUAUGUUGGGUGCUAUCGUACCUUUUGAAUCAAAUAAGACCAAUAUUGGUGACUAUAUUGAAACCAAUUUAAUUUUUUUUUUCAGUUUAUUUUGUUAAAAUAAAAAAGCAUAAAUUGAAAUAAGGGCUAGUUUGGGAUUGCUGUGAUUUUUUAUAAAAAUUGUUUAUGUUGUACUAUGAAUACAAUCAGCUGUGAGUGAAGGAAAUACUUGCGUCCGGACUAGUAUGUACGUGUGCGUCCGGAUUCUCUGUUAUUUACAUACUUUCGGCAAUGUAAAUCAUAAUUUUAACCGUUCAAAAAUUGGAUUAACCAAUAAAGAUCAUUUCUGCAAAAAAUCAAUGUAAACAAAAUUCGUUUGCUCACCCAAUUGUAUUAAACAAAUGAACAGUUCUGGUAAAAGUUAUCAGCCUCAUGAUUAUCCGUCAAUUUGUUUGAUUCAUUCGACUUAGCAAACGAUUUUUGUUUACACUGAUUUUUUGCAUAGGUGUUUUUUUUUUGAAUAAUUGAAUUUUAUUACUAAAUACGAUUCAAAUUGUACAUGAGGGCAUCCAGUAUAAAGUAUGGAGCAUGAGAAAACUACUCAAGGUGGAUAUUAGACUCAAAACCAUAGUUAGCUAGUCUGUGUGCUACCAAAUUGGUCUGCCUGGGAGCAAAAUGCAAACUAAAACCUUUGUUUGCAGCUAGAGUCUCUUUGAUCUCCAAAAUAAGACCACUGAGAGGGGAUAAAUCAUCCUCAGGAGAGUUGAGAGUAGUCACCGCUACCAAACAAUCACUCUCCACAAUAGCAUCAGCAAUAUGCAUAGCUUGAAGAACAUCUGUCCCAUACCUUAUAGCUUCCAAUUCAAAAUGAAGAGAUGAACUAACAUGUUCCAUGCGGUGUGCAAAACCAUCUAAGAACUGACUCUGAGAGUCUCGAAGCACACCUCAAAACCACCUUGAGUGACAUCAGGAAGGAAGGAACCAUCCACAUUGAGUUUCACAACUGACCCCAAAGGAGGUUGCCACUGUUUUCUCAGUUUCUGUCGAGUAGAAGCUGUUGUACCAGAAGAGACUGAUUGUGCUUUAAGGUAUUCCUCAUACCAUGACAUGGCAGCUAUAACAACUUGAUCAGGAUUCUUGCCAUUAUCUCUCCAUAAUAUCUCAUUCCGGUUUCGCCAAAUACUCCCAAGGAGGAUUAGAAACGUCACUACGCCAAAAAAGAGUUUUUACGGCCGACAAUGCGUGCCGUAAAAGUCUUUUUACGGUGUACAAAAGUAGGCAGUAAAAGCUCAGGUCGUAAAAGACCAAUAUCUUUUACGACGUGCAAAAAUACUUCAUAAAAAAACAAUUAACACGCCGUAAAAGUGAUUCCAUAAAUGUUAUUUAGGUCAUUUAUGACCCUCUUUUGCUCACCGUAAGAAUAUUUAAAGGCGUACACAGCAUGCCGUGAAAGAGUGACUAAACUCCUAAUUAAGGCACACACUGCAGGCCGUAAAUAAGGUAUGUUCAAAUAAAAAAAAAUACUUCUUACUCAAAUGUCAUACUCAAAUUACCAUCAAUAUAACUAAUGUCAUUUACAAAGUAACAAUUCAUAAUGUAUUAAUAUAACUCACUAGUCAAUGACCAGCCGCGCCCUGCUGCAGCCUUUUUUAUGGUCUGUUUCUUGAGUAAUAUUUCUUUCCGUAUAGAAUGCUUAACCUAUGAAGAAUUUGUAUACCUAAGAGCAUCUACUCCUCUUUCAAGCACUGGAUCAAGUUCAACACAUGCAUUCGUCAUGACCUCUUUCCUCCCAUGUUCGGCACUGCCAACUCUUUUACAUGCAGACUCACUUGUGUGAGUACUGGGGCUUGUAACUGAGAAAACUUCAUUCUCACCCACACUACUCUGACUGAGGGGUGAAGGAGGAAAUCUCUCUAAUUCUUCUUUUUCUUGUCAUAUGGCACCUAUAACCACAAUAAGGAGAUCGAAUUAAAGAUAAACUCUUAUGAUCCAAUAAUGCUACUACUAUACAACCGCGAAGGUAUAGAAUCAGGCCCUCACCCAACACCUCCAUCCUGGUCAUCAAAUUAUUAGCCAAAGGCAAAAGCUAUUCUCUUACUCUUUCUAUUGAAAUAUCCAAAAUAGUCUACAUUGACUUGUAAGGAUAACAAUGCACAACAUGUAUGCAAUUACAAAAUCCUAACAUUGUAGUGAGGUAUAAUGAGAUGUUGUGCAUAUCUAUUUGCUUGAUUAUCUUUAAAGGAUCUAAAAGUUGGCUUCCAGUUGUUUUUUAAACAACUUUCAGUGAACUGUCCAAUUAGAGAAAUGAUCAGAUCAAGCAUGUCAUCAUGCUACGUACACGCAACACCUAAACCAAACACAAUAAUCCACCAAUGAGCAUCCUAAACCAAAACAUAACGCAAAUUAACAGCAAAAUAGUUUGAAAAUAAAACCCACAGGGAUUCAAGUUAUGACAUUCGACAAACUUAUCGUGUCUUCAAAUUAUUGUUUCACAUAAAUUUAGUUUCAAAUACAACUCAUUUGCCAAACUUAGUAUGAACCGAUGAUUAGCUCAUAUCAUGCAUAUUAUUGGCUAGAACUGUUGGACAAACAUGAAGCAAAUAAUCGGCCAACAUUCAAACAUUCAUAGUCAUGCUAAAUAAGACUUAUCAGAACCCAGUAUGGAAAAAGAUUGAAAUAUCAAAUGCUUUUUCCCGAAAAGAGUAAAUUCUUAAAGAUCGUACCUUAAAACCAUCCAACCUGGAGGCCUCAGAAUCCACCACACAAAAAACUCCAAUUGGCUGAUCAAGAAAUUGCUCAAUAAGACACCAACUUGAACUUGGGAAUACAAAUUGGUAAUACACAAUCAGAAAGCAUAAGCAAAAACGCUUUUGGGCUCCACCUGAACUCGAUGAGGUCGCCAGAAGCUCAAGAACACUAUCGCCAGAAAACUUCAACGGGAACCCAGAAAUAUGCAGAAAAAUAAAGAAAUAGGAUUAGGGCUCUAACACGGAAAUUGAAGCUCAAGGAAGAGUGAAAACGAGAGGGAAGUGAUGGGGUUUACCUUCACCAAGCAUGGGCUCGCCGGAGAGAAAGAGAUUCGGCCAUAAAUCAUAUUUGGGGGUUAGAGUUUGGACUUCAAUCUAAAAAGUCUAUGGUUCUAAGUCGAAUUGGUGGGUAGCUAGGGGAAGGUGGAGAAGAGGAAGAUGAACAUUUUGGUGAUGAUCUUGCGGCAUGCGGUGGCCGGAAACAGCUACGCCAUGCCAGAGAUGGCGGAGGCAGGCGGAGAGGGAGAGAGAGCGGUCUGGGCUCGAGUUUGGGUUCUGACCAAAAUCAACAUGUAAUUACAGGUCUCUUCCCUUUUAUACUUGAUGGGAUCUUUAUUAAUUUUCUUUCGCAACAAAAAAAAAUGUGGGAAGUUUAAGUUUUGGUGAAAAAAUUGAGCGGGAGCUGAAAAGAAAAAUUCGAGUUUGAGGUGUAGUCAGCUCACACCAAUUACGGCGUGCAACUAUUGCACGCAGUAAAUACCUUAUACUUAUUAACGGCGCGCAAUGAAUGAAUGUCAUAAAUACAUCUUUAUUUACGGCGUGCUUUUAUUGUAAGCCGUAAAUAACUCGAGCCACAAUCUCAAUUACGGCACACUUCCGAAGCACACCAUAAAUAACUCUACAUAACAUUAUAUUUAUGGCAUGCUAUAAAUGCACGCCAUAAAUGACCCAUUUUUACGGCACGCAUUGACGUACGCCAUAAAUUUUAGGCGGUAAAAGCCCUGAAUUCUUGUAAUGCUUGGAAAACAGAUUUGGAGUUAAAGAAGAAGCUCUCUCCAGUAUCCAAUCUUUCCAAGUAAGAGAAGGGUGAGGAAAAGAGAAGGGAGGCUUACCAAAAAUGUAUUUCAAGAGAAAACAAGUGCAAAAGAGAUGAUCAAAGGACUCCACAGAUUGUUGACAAACAACACAGUUUAAAUCCCCAGUAAAUCCCUUCUGAUUUAAAGCCGACCUGGUUGGGAGAAGAUUAUGCACUGCUCGCCAUCCAAAAAUAGUGACCUUAUUAGGCACUUUAGCUUUCCAGAAUGCUUUUCAAAUUGGUAAAUAAGGAUCAACAUUUGAGCCAGUUGCAAUACAUAUACCAAGAUACAUGUUUCUAGCUACAAUAUAUGCUGAUUUCACAAAGAGAAAGCCUUUCUUGUCGAAUUUCCAAGAGAGUUUGUUCUAUGAAAAUCUUCUACUGAGGGGAAUAGCAAGAACUACAUCAGCCACUUCAGGGGGAAAGCACAUUCGGACAACAUGUAAAUGCCAAGACCAUGAAGACUCAUCAAUUAAAUCUGAUACUAGCUCAAAAAUAGUACGCUCAGGUUUAGAUAGUGAGGAGGCCGAAAAACCUGAAAUCCAGUCCGCAGUCCAGAUAUUGACUGAAGAACCAUUACCAAUGCACCAUUGAAGGCCAGCUUGUAGAACAUGCCAGCCUUCCAUGAUACUUCUCCAUGCAUAUGAAGGUCUUUCACCCAUAUCGGCUUCAAGAAAAGAGGUGUGUGGAUGAUAGAUGGCUUUGAAGAGUUGAGCAGCUAAGGAGUUCGGAUUUGUAAGAAGCCUCCAACCUUGCUUAGCUAACAUAGCUAGGUUAUGUGAAAACAAAUGUUUAAACCCCAUCCCACCUUGAUCUUUGGGAAGACACAUCUGAUCCCAAGACCGCUAAUGAAUUUUCUUUUUUUUUUCUGCAGUACUUCCCUAGAAAAACUCACAACAAAGUUGUUGAAGAUCCUCACAGAGAGUCUUGGGAAGAGCAUAACAGUUCAUCACAUAAUUCGGAAAAGGCUAACCAACUACCUUGAUUAAAAGUUCUUUACCUCCUAAACUGAGAAGCUUCUCUCUCCAACUGAUAAGCUUCUUACUUAACUUUUCCUUAAGAAAAUUAAAUAUGGCUGUCUUAUUUUGUCCAACUUGAAUAGGGAGGCCUAAGUAAAGACCAUGCUCCUCUACACAUUCAACCCCCAGAAUGGAAGCUAAUAUAUUCUUCUUCUCAGGUUGCACAUUGCCGCUGAAAACGACAUUUGAUUUCUACAGAUUAAUAUGUUGACCAGAUGCCCUUGCAUAGGUAGACAAAAUAUGUUUAUAAGCUUGACAUUCUUAUAUAGAAGCUUCACCAAAGAGAAAGCUAUCGUCUGUAAAAAGUAAGUGGUGAAUGGUGGGGGCUGUAGGAGAAACCGAAAUCCUUGGAUUAAACCCUGCCUCUAAGAUGCAGAUAUAUAGGAGGACAGUCCUUCUGCAGCCAAAAUGAAUAGAUAUGGAGAUAGAGGAUCGCCUUGACGAAUCCCUCUAGUAGGUAAGAUAAAACCAGUAGGAGUACCAUAUAUCAGAAUUGAGUAACUAACCAAUUUAACUGUCGCCAAGACAAUGUUAACCCAGGUGUGGCAAAAGCCCAGCUUCAGAAGGAUUACUUCCAAAAAAACUCCACUCUAACGUAUCAUAGGCCUUUGAAAUAUCAAGUUUCAAUGAGAAGAAACCUUGUAACUGCCGGCGAAGCUUUUUCAUGAAACGAGCAAUUUCAGUAGCUACUAGAGUAUUAUCCGAGAUUAAGCGACCCGAUACGAAUGCGCUUUGAAGAGGAGAGAUCACUUGUGGGAGGAUGUGUUUCAGUCUGUUUGCAUAGGUGAUCUUUAUUCGUUAAUCCAACUUUUGAACGGUUAAGAUUAUGAUUUAUAUUGCCGAAAGUGUGUAAAUAACAGAGAGUCCGAACGCACACGUACAUACUAGUCCGAACGCAAGUAUUUUCCGUGAAGAAUUAAAACAGUUUUCUGUUUGGUGAAUGUUACUUUUAAAACUGGUAUCAAAACAUAAAGUACCAUUUUUUGUGUUUUUAUUGACAACAAUUUCUAAAAGCAACCUCAAGGCUGUUUUCCACUUAUUUGUAAUUUUCAAAUAAAGAUGCUUCUGUUUAGUUUACCAAACACAAUAAAAUUUAGAAGUUUAGAUAAAAACUUAUUUUUUUUAAAAGCGAAGCUGUACCAAACUAAGUCUUAGAGUACUUUUUAGUUUCGAUUGUUCAAUAUUAGUGGUGAUGUUGUAUGAAGGGUGCGAUUCAUCUAUGGAUUUAAGUGGCCUUUGAACAUGUCUCUUGCAACAGGAUAUAUGGCAUUCAAGUUACAGCCGUGGCGAAUGGUUUGGGAUGGGUGAUGAUAUCAUAAUUAUUUCUUGCUUCCUAUUAGUUAUAAACUAUGUUAUCUACAUUUCAAAAAACUAAUAAAAAAAAAAAAAAUAAGUCAUCAAAGUGAUAAUAUUAGUUUUCAAAGUUGUAAAUGAGUCCUUAAAGUUGUAAAUAUUAUUAGUUACCACAUGAGUCCUUAAAGUAAUAAUACUAAUCCUUAAAGUAUUAUUCAUGUAUUCCCUAUUAUAAGAGACGAUAAGUGUGCUUCUACCCUCCCAUAUACUUGGACACCAACUGUUUCCAGAGAGAUAUCGAGUACGACUUGUAAUCGGUCGAAAAUAGGAAAAACUUCUGGUUUCGAAAAGGACGGAAAGAAGAAACGAAAGUGGUCCGCUUGUGAAGACCAGAUCCUCAGUGACUACGUCAAGAAGCACGGUCCAGGCAAAUGGGGCAAAAUAGCAAAAGAGAUUGGCAAGUUCAUACCUUCAUAUUUACUUUCGACAUAC
rnacentral:lncRNA from 1 species